rnacentral:lncRNA from 1 species
CCUACUAAGUACAAAUGGACCAUACUGACGCCUACUGCGCCCUUUUUGUGCAGAUCCUACCUCAAGUACGCCUCAGAUUGGUUGAUUUCGAGCACCUUUAGAUUUACUCAAGGUAACGGUUGGACAUUCAUGCAUCCGGAGUUCACCUAUAUCUUUCUAUAGUAGUUAUGUCUUUAUUUGUAUUUAGAGAUAGAUGUUGACCCUGUGUAGGUAUUACUGAUGUAUUUGACUCAUGGUUGUAUUAGUAGUUCUUAUACUAUUGACAUCAGGUUUUAGGAGAUGGCUGCGUUGUUGAUUAUAGUCAUUCCGUAUUUAUCAUACUUAUGUGGCUCGACUUCGUUCAGCCUCGUCUAGGAGGAGUGCUAGGGGAUUCUCCUCUGAGCCUUGUGUUGAGUAGGUUGGAGGAGUGGGUUCUACUCUAGUUCUUCAGAGUUCUUAUGCUCUUGUUUUAGAAGGGUUGUUUAAACAUUUAUUGACCCUUUUAGAGGAUUCUCCAUUGGUUUUACCAGGUGUUCCUCCAGUUUAGAGUAUGGAUUCUCCCAUAGCACCUGUUUCUAUUUUGGGUACUUCUCAGACCCAGACUCUUAUUUCUAUUUUAGCACCGACAUCUGAGCAUGGUGUUUUGAGAUUUAGAGUUCAACCUUCGUCUGUUAUAUCCUCAGAUGGGAACUCAGUCUGCUAGAUUUACUAUGCCUCCUUUUGCUACGAGUAUAAUGAUGUCUUUUGAGGAUCAGAAGAGGUUUAAGAGAUUUACUUGUUUGGGUUUUCCUAAGUUUAGUGGUGUUGUGGAUAGGGAUGCCUAUGAGUUUUUGAUUGAUUGCUGAGAGAAAUUGCAUAAUUAGGAUUCAUUGGAGUCGCAUGGGGUUGCUUAUACUACCUAUCAGUUAAGAGACACGACUAGAGAUUGGUGGAGAUCAGUUAUUGAUUGUAAACCUAUUAAUACUCUUGAGUAUCAUGGGAUCAGUUUGUCGAUGCCUUACUAGAGAGAUUUAUGCCUUACAACCUAUAAAAUUGGAUACGUGAUGAGUUUUACCGCCUGGAGCAGGGCUCCAUGACUAUAGUAGAGUAUGAGGCAUGCUUUCAUACCUUAUCUAGAUAUUCCUAUGCUAGUAUUUCCACCGAGUUUUAGAAGAUUCAAAAGUUUGUGAAGUGUUUGGAUGUCUUUCUUCAAUUGGAUACAUCACGGAUGAUCGUAUUGGGGGCAUCUUUUUAGAGUAUUGUAGAUCAGGCUAAGAUGACUAAGGGCAUUCUUCAGGCAUCUCAGGGAGACGCUAAGAAGGUACACCAUUUUAGUGAGUUCAGAGGUUAGUAUUCUUGUGAUAAAGAUUUUAUAGGUUCUCAUGGAUAUCAAGGUAGGCUAGUGCAGACGGCUUUGCAGAGUUCAGGUGGUAGAUCUUUGAUUUUAGUAGUGCAGGAUGGUCAUUCAAGCCCAACGGUACCUUCUUCUAUUGAUAGGGGUCGUAAGAUUUGUUAUGUGUGUCGUGGGUUGGCCAUUUGGCCAAGGACUUCUCCCGUUGUGUGAUUAGGUCUACUCAUACUUUAGCAGUGAGAGGUAGGAGUACUACCAAAGAAGAUAGAGGUAGAGGUGGUAGAGCCCGUGAUAAUGGUCGUGGGGCCACUUAGGUAGUUGGUGUUCAUGGGUAAUGCUAUGCUAUACCAGCCAGACUUGAGGCAGAGGUUUCUGAUGCUUUGAUUACAGGUAUCGUCCCCAUUUAUUUCAAACCUGCAUUUGUAUUAUUUGAUCCCAGAUCAACUAUUUCCUACGUGUCUAUAUAUUUUGCUUUGGGUUUUGAUUCUAUAAGUGAGCCUUUUGCCAUGUAUAUUGGUGUAUCUACCCCUGUCGGAGAUUUUUUAGUAGUGGAUCGGGUACACCGAUCUUGUAUUGUGACUUUUUGUGCCCGUGAGACUUGGGUUGGUUUGAUUAUGUUAGAUAUGGUUGACUUCGAUGUAAUUUUGGGUAUGGAUUGGUUGGCUCCCUAUUAUGUUGUCUUAGAUUAUUUUGCUAAGACUGUGACUUAAGCUUCUCGGGUGUGCCAAGGAUUGCUUGGAAGGAUGCGCUUCAUUUGGAACCCAAGAGGGUCACAUCUUAUGCCCAGGCUUGUAGAUUGAUUGAGAGGGAAUGUUUAGCUUAUUUGGCUCAUAUUUUCUAUACUAGUGUUGUUUCACCUCUAUAAUACCCCUUACGUUCCUAGUUUAGUUCAUCCCCUAGUAAUUUCCUAUAGCACUUAGUACCAGAAUAUAAAGCUAAGUGUUGAGGGGUUUUGUAAUUUUUGACUCCCUUUAACUCCAAGGAUUUUAGGUUAAUCUUCCGGGCUCCAAGAUGAUGAUUUUUGAGUUGAUUUUUGAGUUUAGUAAUUUAUGCUUGGAUUCGCCAAGCAGCAGCUCACCGCGAUUAGACCACCUCGCGAUGAGUAUAGCAAAGAGAAAACCACCAUGUCGCGGUGGAGGUCUAAUCGGCAGUUGUCAGCUUCCAGAGUCAUCGCAAUUACACUGCGUCACGGUGGGUAUCGCGAUGACUCCCAUGCCGCAUCGCGGUGUAGCCCAAAUCAGCAAUGGUCCCAUUCCACUGUCACCGCGAUUCCACCGCAUCGUGGUGGGAAUCGCGAUAGAAUCGUGAUAACCCAUUCACCGCAUCGCGGUGAAGCCUUAAACGACAUUCCAGUUUUAAAUUUUAAAUUUCAAAGCCAACUUAGUCUUUUCCCACGCUCCUAAAUCGUGAAAGUAGAAGAUUUAAUCAUAUUCUAAGCAUAUUACACUCACUCUUCACCAAAAUUCUCUCCAAGAAAGCCCUAAUGCUUCAAUAUUAGACUUUAAGAAACCCCAAAUUCCACUAUUCCCUCUUUCAAGAUAACCAAGAAUUCGAGUUUCCCGAUUCAAGAACUUCAAGAAACAAUCUUCACAAACACCAAUAGGAAUUCAAAGUCAAGUGUCUUCAUCAAUUUAAUCCAUUAAGGUAUGUGGAGUUUUGAACAAGGAUAAAUCUUUCAUCCUUGUGCCCAAAACUAGAUUUUAUUUACAAAUUUACAUGAUUUUACAUGAAUUUCAAUUUAGGGUUCAUACCCAUUUAUUGCUAUUUGAAGAUUAUGAUGUUUUAAGUGUUUUUGAUGUUGAAUUGCAUGUCUGCUUUUGUAUAUUCAUGCGUAUGACUAUAUUUUCCAGAUUUUGAGUUGAAUUAUGAAUAUUUACAUUAUCAAGCAUGAAUAUUAUGAUGAUUUGACAUGAAAUUAAUGCAUGGGUUAUCAAGCCCUAGUUGAAUAUUGCUAUUUCAAGAAUGAUUAUGCUUUUAAGCAUCCCUUGAUAUGUUUAUAGACAACUUUGAAAUAAAGAUUUGAUCUUUUGAUCUUUAGCUAAGAUAUGGAGUCCACUUUACAGCUUAAAUUCAGUGUUGAAUGAACAGAUGCACAGUUAGCUUUCAGUAUGAAACAUUAUGAGCAUGUCUGCUUUUGUAUAUUCAUGCGUAUGACUAUAUUUUCCAGAUUUUGAGUUGAAUUAUGAAUAUUUACAUUAUCAAGCAUGAAUAUUAUGAUGAUUUGACAUGAAAUUAAUGCAUGGGUUAUCAAGCCCUAGUUGAAUAUUGCUAUUUCAAGAAUGAUUAUGCUUUUAAGCAUCCCUUGAUAUGUUUAUAGACAACUUUGAAAUAAAGAUUUGAUCUUUUGAUCUUUAGCUAAGAUAUGGAGUCCACUUUACAGCUUAAAUUCAGUGUUGAAUGAACAGAUGCACAGUUAGCUUUCAGUAUGAAACAUUAUGACUUUUAGAAGUGGAUUUCCUACAUAAUAAGCAUAUAGAUUAAAUGGAGUAGCAUUUAGCAUCGAACAGAAAGUGUGGAUUUAGUGCAUCCUACUUUCCUAGAACUACGAGCCAACACAGGUACAAAUUCAAUAUUCUCAUUUUAUAUGGAUGACAGUUACAGAUGUGAUCACUCUUAGCUCAAGUUAUACUCCAUGGCAAGAGUAUGACACCUCUCCCCAAUGUGAGGUUUUACCCUUAAGGGAACAAGAUGUUGAACUCCAUGAUAGCUGACAUGGUUUAUGUCGGUUAGAAGAACCUCCCUAUAGAAAAGAGUAAUCCUAACAGAAAAGCUUUUAAAAAAAUUUCCUACAGCCUAACAGAAAAGAAUAACAAAAUAAAUUUUAGAAACUAAGUGUAAAGGAUCACAAUUUAUUUUAGAUAUUGAUUUACACUAGACAUUAGCUAUGAGAUUUCUACUUUCAUUUUAUAGAUAUAAAGAUGAGUCCUUUUUACACUUAGUCUGCAUAAUUUGAAAACAGACUUGACUUCAGUCCUACUUAUUCCACUAAUAGAAAGAGUAAAAGUAAAGAUUUUAGAACUAAGUGUUAUGGGUCAUAAGAUUUAUACAGUAUGCUUUGUUAUUCAUGAUUUAUGAUUUUCAACUUUCAGUUAUUCAAGCCAAUGUGAGGCAUUUACACUUAGCAUACAUCCUUUUAUAAGUUUAUAUAAAAAUUGAGAUAUUAUUUUACUUAUGCAUUCACCCCCACAUGCUCAGUGCAUUCCAAAAGUACUGAUCCACAUAUAGGUUUAUGUGCUACAUUAUUUAAUAAUGUAGGUACAAGUUGUAGUGUGUAUAUUAGAAGCAAACAGUUGCAGCUUCCAGUCAGCAGGUGAUGAGUUCUUUUGAUUCAAGGGCUUGAGUUAGUCAAAGUUUGUGUAGUAUCUUAUUUUCUCCAUUUAGUUAUAUUUAUUCGGGAUAACUGGGUGCCAUGUCCUGACUAUCGAUAGUCAAUACUAGUAGAGGCUUCAUAGACAGUCAGUAGAGUUGAUGCAUUGAAUUUUCAGUGUUGUUUUGUAUAAGAAGAGCUGUAAUUAUCUCAAUAUAGUUUUUUUAUUGAUCAUAUUCAGAAAAGAUUUAUCUUUCGCAUUAUUUUUUUAGACUUAUGUAUUUAUUUUAGUUGCUCAUGAGUUAUGCCAAUACAAGGGUUAGCUUGGGAUCACUUGUGGUCUUAAGCAUCGUAUGAUGACUAGGGGGUAGUCUCGGAUUAUUACAAACUUGGUAUCAAAGCAUAGAGUUCAAGUGUACAAGGGUGUCUAUGAAGCCGUGUCUAGUAGAGUUUUGCGAAACAGCACAGAGACGUCUGUACUUUUCUUCGAGAGGCUACAUAGAAUUUAAGAAGAGUUUUCUUUCUAUCAUACAAUAGAUUGUGCAGUAAAGUUGUUAUUUUCAAAACUUUUGUCGAAUUAUGUGUAACUCCAUAAUUCUCUAUCCAUAACCUUUCGAGAUAAUCUGAGUACUAGAUUCCAAUUCCUCCCAAGAUGAUUCUCUCAGAUUUACUAUCAGUAAGUUCAGAAGUCACACAAGGGGCUUGAGAGGAGCUCGCUAGUAUGUUAUAAGUUUCUCAAGUUGAAAAGUUAUGUCCUCAUCCUUAUGAGUUAUUCGAUUAAGACAGAGUAAUAUAUGUAUUCAGAUUCCUCAUUAUUCCUUCAAUACAGAUAAUGCUCAUAAGGGGAGAUGGUAUGAACCUAGAUUAUUGAGUAGAGUUUGCAUUCGAGGGAUAUUGCAACCUGCAGUGUUAUGAUUCAUAAGUAGUAGAACCAUCUUAUAGUCGAAAGUAUGGGUAUAGAAGUGUAGUGAAAAGAAAAGUGGGAAUGACGAAUGAUAGAAAGUAUAGAUAUAAACAUAUGCAUACUUUCGAGUUAUUAGUUAAGGUGAAUUGUUGCUAGCUUGAAGUAGAAAAAGGAGUUAUUGAGGGUAAUUAUUCUGUUAGAAAAAUAUAGGUUAUUAAUGAAAGUAUUUGGGUGGUUGAGUAUUGUGAAUUCAGGCUUUAUGAAAGUAAUCUAGGUGUAUAGAUGUGUAAAUAGUCAUUAUGUGUAGAGGAGGAUGUGCUAACAGAUUUUAACAUGGUAUAGCAUAGGAUUAUGAUCAAAUAUUAUUAUAAGGCUUUAGGGGAAUAGUAUUUCUAGAUGUCUGAUUUUAUAGCUUCCAAGUGAGAAUAGUAUACGAGAUUGAGUGAUUAAUCAUGGCUUGCACUAGACACUAAGUUUGAGCAGUGGAUGACCAUACAGGUAGAAAUAGUGAUUUCUUGGUUGGUGAUGCUAGCUAUAUGGAAGUGAUCUAGUAGGCUUGAACAGUGUAUGCAAGAGUGUAAGUUGAUUUAUUCAUAACUUAGUAUGAUGUUGUAAGUAUGACGUAAAGGUGCGCCCAAGGUGAUAUAGGGUUGCACUAUUUUUAAAGUUUAUAAAGUAUUGUGUGCUGUUAAUAGUACCCUUGAGUGGUUAAGUGGAAGAAGGCUAGCUAUUUUGUACAUGGUGUUAUUAGUAGAUAAGUUGAGGAGUUAUGGAUAGUUAGUGUUGAGUCUUUUAAUUAUGAUCGUGAUUCUUAUGGUUUGGGAAAAAUAUAAUUUUGAGAUGCGAUCUUAGUAGGCUAUGGUUAUGUGUUUAGUUAGGCAAGUAUGUUUGUUGAGUUAGUAGAGUAUAAGUCUCUGAUGAUGACUAUUGGAGCUAAAAGAAGUAUUAGUAGUGGGUUUCACACAUUCAGGUUUAGUCUUUCAGGGUGAGUUUAUUAUUUAUGUGUAUUAUUAUACCCCAGACUCUAGAGUAAAGUGAUUGUAGUUUAGAUUAGAGUUUAGUAAAGGGUUCCACAGACUUAGAAUGAUGGCUUAAAGCUAAGGGGGGAGAUGAUAGAACAAGUAACCAAGUCAGAUUCUCAGAUUCCAGUAGUGCUACCAGUGUGUUACAGAAAAAUACUAGGGAGGAAGAUCCCUCCCAUUAUUAUUUCGGUAUUCGUACUUUAGUUAUCAUGAUAUCUACUCAUGCCUUACGUGUCAGUUCUUUGAUCAUAGUUCAACAUUCAUGCACAUAAUAGAGAAUCAAGUAUUCUCCCAAUUCCUAGUAUGAAGAGUUCUAAUUCAUUCAGCAAUAUGAAUCAUGUUCUAGAAAUUUAUGAACUCCAAACUCAGAUCAUGCAGCUCAUGACUUAUGUACUCAUGCUUUACUGUAUGUUCAGUUCUAGUACUCAUGCUACACUCUUAAUGAUCAACAAAAUUUAGUAUAUAUCAUGUAUGCCCCUCAGUUUAGAUCUCUUUGUUAAAUCCAUAAUGUUGAUACUGUAUUCCUCAUGCCUCAGUUAAGUGCCAAAGCUAUCCUUUCAUGUUCCAGGUCCUCAUGAUCUAACUUUUCAGUGACCUCUUCUUUUGUAGGGAUAGUGGUGAUGAGUAAUUAUUUGGCUAGGAGAACUUAUUGUAUGCCUGUUUGGUCUAAGGUUAUAAGUGUGAAGUAAGAUUGAGGCCAAGUUUUUUGAUAUAUUUCAUGGUUAGUUGAAAUUUUGUGUGUGAUUUUCUAAAGGAUAGUGCAUGGGAGUUGUUAAUGAUAGAGGUUUAGAGAAUGUGAGAAAGAUGCUUUUGUGGUGGUUUGCCUAGAAGUUCAUGUGUGGUUAUGAAGAUUGGCUUAAAGGUUAUGUUGGUGUAAAAGUGGAUAAAUGCAUUGUGAACUAGUGAAUUCAUGGUAAGAGGUUGAAGUUAGUUAUUGAAGUGGGAAUGAGUUUUAUUCUUAAGGUGAGAAGUUGUGAAAACACAUGGGUAUUGAAUUCAUGGUCAGACUAGUGUUAUGGUGUUAUGUGUAGUGCCUUGAGAUUCUGAGUUAGGCUUAAACAUAGGUGAGAGUGUGUAGUCCAACUCAAACUUUGGCAAGAGUAGUUAUAUGUACCCGUGUGAGAAGGCAUUUAAGGGGAGUAGCAUAGUUGAGGGAGUAUUUGAGAAGUAUGGCUAAGCUUGAAUAUUAGCAAUUGCAUUGCAUACGGCUUAGAAGUUCUAUCCUUGCUUAUGUUUCAUAGGUCUAUUUUCUAUGUUACAGAGUUAUAACUAUAAUAAGAUUCCUUACUCAGAUGUCUUGUUCAGAUCCUGCCCAUGAUCCCUUGCUCCCUAAUGUUAGUAUAACUUCUUAUAAAGAGUGUUGAAUAAAUACUCCAGAUGAGUAUAAGCUUUUAGUAUGAUUCAGUCAAUAUAGCCUACGAUCCAGUUUAGCAAUCAAGCAGAUAAGCUCAUACAGAUUUCCAAUUUCCCAUUUAGUCUUACUACCCAAAGUUUCACUAGUAAGGCCAUUCCAUGAGGUAAAAUGUUUGCAUUCAUGUAAAUUAUGAAUUCAGCUCAGUUCAUACAUCGUGCAUCAUAUUUUAGAUUCCAGAUAUUUAGUCAUGAUUCAUUCCGUAAGUAGCCCAUGCAUCAUCUCAGUCUUUCCUUAGUAUUUCAGUCAAGUUAGUGUCAUUCGGGGGAAGAUCAGUGUCAUUCGGGGGAAGAACGAUCCCAAGGGGGAGAUAUUGUAAUGUCCUGAGUUUUCAUGUCCAAAACCUCUCAUCUUUUCUUCACAAAACUAGGUCCAUCUUGAGGUAAUGGUUACUCAUAAGUUGACUUUCUCAUUUCUAUCCCAGACUAAUAACCCUUCCCAUGUCAGUGCAUGUAUUCAAGAAAUUAGCUCAAUCAUGAUAUUCAGCUCAUGUUUCAUGCAGAGACUCAGUUAUGCAAUCAUGUUCCAAGUCAUGCAUGUUCAGUAUGUGAGCUCAGUUACCUUAGUACAAUACUCUUAGUCUAACGAGUCUCAUUCAAGGACGAAUGUUCCCAAGGUAGGGAAAUUGUAAUAUCACAUACUUUCCUAGUUCAGUUCAGCACCUAUUAAUUUUCUAUAGCACUUAGAACUAGAAAAUAAAGCUAAGUGUUGACGAGUUUAGUCAUUUUUGACUCACUUUAACUUCGAGGAUUUUUAGGUUGAUCUUUCAGGCUCUAAGACGAUGAUUUUUGACUUGAUUUAUGCUCAAAGGUGUAAUUAGCAUGUCUCGGGUAAGUUUUAGAUUUUUUGGACAAGGUUUGGAUCACAUUUGGAUUCUCCAAGCAGCAACUCACCCCGGUUAGACCGCUUCGUAGUGAGUAUAGCGAUGAGGAACCCACUGUGUCGCGGUGGAGGUCUAAUCGAUAGUUGUCAAUUUUCAAAGAGUCACCGCGAUUGCACUGCAUCGCGGUGGGUAUCGCGAUGACUGCCAUUCCACAUCGUGGUGAUGCCCAAAUCAGUAAUGGUCCCAUUCCAGUGAGCCACCACGAUUCCACCACAUCGCAUUGGGAAUAACAAUGACCUAUUCACCGCAUCAUGGUCAAGCCUUAAACAACACUCCAAUUUUAAUUUUAAAUUUCAAGGGCAACUUAGUCUUUUUCCAUGCCCCAAAAUCGUGAAAACAAAAGAUUUAACCCUAUCCUAAGUAUAUUACACUCAUUUCUCACCAAAAUUCUCUCCAAGAAAACCCUAAUGCUUCAACAUUAGACUUCAAGAAACCCCAAAUUCCACCAUUCCUCUCUUUCAAGAUAACCAAGAAUUCGAGUUUCCCGAUUCAAGAACUUCAAGAAACAAUCUUCAAGAAUACCAAUAGGAAUUAAAAGUCAAAUGUCUUCAUCAAUUUAAUCCAUUAAGGUAUGUGAGGUUUUGAACAAGGAUAAAUCUUUCAUCCUUGUGCCUAAAACUAGAUUUUAUUUACAAAUUUACAUGAUUUUACAUGAAUUUCAAUUUAGGGUUCAUACCCAUUUAUUUCUAUUUGAAGAUUAUGAUGUUUUAAGUGUUUUUUGAUAUUGAAUUGCAUGUCUACUUUUGUAAAUUCAUGCAUAUGACUAUAUUUUCCAGAUUUUGAGUUGAAUUAUGAAUAUUUACAUUAUCAAGCAUGAAUAUUAUGAUGAUUUGACAUGAAAUUGAUGCAUGGGUUAUCAAGCCCUAGUUGAAUAUUGCUAUUUCAAGAAUGAUUAUGCUUUUAAGCAUCCCUUGAUAUGUUUAAAGAUAAAUUUGAAAUAAAAAUUUGAUCUUUUGAUCUUUAGCUAAGAUAUGGAGUCCAUUUUAUAGCUUAAAUUCAGUUUUGAAUGAACAAAUGCACAAUUAGCUUUCAGUGUGAGACAUUAUGACUUUUAGAAGUGGAUUUCCUACAUAAUGAGCAUACAAAUUAAAUGGAGUAAUAUUUAGCACUGAGCGGGAAGUGUGGGUUGAGCGCAUCCUACUUUUCUAGAACUACGAGCCAAUGUAGGUACAGAUUAAGUAUUCGCAUUUCUAUAUGGAUGACAGUUACAGAUGUGAUCACUCUUAGCUCAGGUUAUACUCCAUGGAAAGUGUAUAACACCUCUCCCCAACGUGAGGUUUUCCUCUUAGGGUAACAAAAUGUUGGACUCUAUAAUAGCUCACAUAAUUUAUGUCGGUUAGAAGAACCUCCCUAUAGAAAAGAGUAAUCCUAACAGAAAAGCUUUUAAAAGAAUUUCCUACAGCCUGACAGAAAAGAAUAACAGAACAUAUUUUAGAAACUAAGUGUAAAGGCUCACAAUUUAUUUUUGAUAUUUUUUUACACAAGACAUUAGCUAUGAGAUUUCAGCUUUCAGUUUACAGAUAUAAAGGUGAGUCCUUUUUACACUUAGCUUGCAUGAUUUGAAAAUAACCUUGACCUCAGUCAUACUUAUUCCACUAUUAGAAAGAGUAAAAGUACAACUUUUAGAACUAAGUGUUACUGAUAACAAGAUUUAUACAGUAUGCUUUGUUAUUCAUGAUUUAUGAUUUUUAACUUUCAGUCAUUCAAGACAAUGUGAGUCAUUUACACUUAGCAUGCAUCCUUUUACAAGUUUAUAUAAACAUUGAGAUAUUAUUUUACUUAUGCAUUUACCCCCACAUGCUCAGUACAUUCCAAAAGUACUGAUCUAUAUAUACGUCUAUGUGCUACAUUGUUUAAUAAUGUAGGUACAAGUUGUAGUGUGCAUAUCAAAAUCGGACAGUUGUAGCUUCCAGUCAGCAGGUGAUGAGUCCCUUUUAUUCAAGGGCUCGAGUUAGUCAGAGUUUAUGUAGUAUCUUAUUUUCUCCAUUCAGUCAUGUUGAUUUAUGAUAGCUGGGGGUCAUGUCUCAGCUACUGAUAGUCAAUACUAGUAGAGGCUUCAUAGACAGUCAGUAGAGUUAAUGCAUUGAAUUUUUAGUUUUAUUUGGUAUAAGCAGAGUUAUAAUUCAUCUCAAUAUAGUUUUUUUAUUGAUCAUAUUUAGAAAAGAUUUAUCUUCCGCAUUAUUCUUUUAGACUUAUGUAUUUAUUUCAGUUGCUCAUGAGUUAUUCCAGUACAAGGGUUAACUUGGGAUCACUUGUGGUCCUAAGCAUCGUGUGAUGACUAGAGGGUAGUCUCAGGUCGUUACAACCUCCUUCCUUAGAUUUUAUCUAUGAUGUUUGUGAUUUUAUAGAUGUGUUUUCUAUGAAUUUGCCUAGUACGCAUCCAUAUCAUGAUGUUGAUUUUGCCAUUGACAUUGAGCUGGGCACCAAGCCCAUUUCUAUUUCUCCUUAUAAGUGUCAUCAUGACCCUUGGUUUUUGGAUCGUGAAAAAAUAAUUACAUAAAUUCCUGAUUUUACUUAAAAACUCAUAUAUAUAAUGUGAUGUAUCCGUAAAUUAAGUGAUGUAUCCGGAAGAAUGUGAGGUAUCUGUGUGGACUAAAUUAGGAAAUUCUAAUAAUUCUGAAAUAAAUGGGACAGUAAGUGAUUAGCUUAAAAAAUAUUGGGAUUUACGUAACUUUUACUAUUAAAAUUAGGGAUAUUUACACUGUAUGACCAUUAACGUAAAAUUUUACACCUAGUAAAAUAAUUACACAAAUAGCCAACUUUUUCGGUUGAUUUUUGCUUCUAUCGAACAAGGAUAAGAUUAUUUGAUCCAUAAUGUCAUCCAUUAAUGAAGUGCUUAUAUCAAGUAAAGAAUAAAAGAUACCCCUUCUAAAGCAUCUCACCUUUAAAAUUAUCUCCUUGAAGUUCUCUUACAUAAGCCACCGUAUUUUCCCACCAUCACAGGGGACUUCUCCUUGUGUUUCUUGGCUUCUCCCCUACCUUGGAUUCAUGAAUAUAUAUAUACUAGUUUAGUAAACAUGCGUUGCACAUGUAUAUAACAUUAAUAAUAAUAAUAAUAAUAAUAAUAAUAAUAAUAAUAAUAAUAAUAAUAAUAAUAAUAAUAAUAAUAAAUGCAUGAAAAAUAAAUUGAUAUGUGUUCGUUAUAUUAUUAAGUAUAGCACUUUUAAAAUAUAACGCUAAAGAUAAUAUGAAUAAAAAGAAUUAUUACCUCUUUGUCAACUAAAUAUCACAGUUUCUCGAGUACCUUCAAUUUGAUAACGAUAUUCAUGUUAUUUAAUACUCCUUUCAUUCCUGAAUAUUAUUUUUGUUACUAAAAAAGAUGAUUCAUAAUACGUAUUUUGUUUCUUUUUAGUUGUCAUGUAUACUGAAAAUAGUUGUUUUCAAAUACUGAUCAAUUUAAAAAAUCAAGAAAGAAUUAAUUUUUUUUCAUGUUUUCCCUUAGAAUUAAUUAUUCUAUAAUUAAUUGACACGUAAAUAGGCAAAGAUUAAUAAAAAGUAUAUGGAGAAAAUUGAAGGAAAGGUGUCUUUUAAGUCUUGAAUAAAAGAUUGGUGACAUUGACCAACUUAAAGGGUCAAACAUCAUUAGAAAACUUGAUUAAGUUAAUUAUGGACUUGAUUAAUAUUUUCAAAACUUUCUAAUCUUUUCAAAAAUAUAAAUCAACCCGCACCCCUCUUCAACCCAAAUCAACCAGUCUCUCUCCUCUCUCUCUCUCUCGACAGUUUGUUUCAACUCUCUCCCAAUCAACAGUUCUACAAAAUUCUCUCUUCAAUCCCAGGCGACUUUAACCUCCGGCAAAAAAUAGUCGGGUGAGAUCCCUUUCAACUUUCAAUCAUCAAUUGACGUGAAGACUUCUCUAGUGACAACAAAUUUGAGUUCUUUGUCGUCUCAUUUUCUUUUGCACAGGUUAAAAAUUAUGAAGAAACAGAGGAACUUGAGGCAACUACUCUUCUAGUAUUGAAAUGUGGACUAAAUAAAACCCUGAUUUUUGGCAUUUCUUCUUCUUGUCGUACUGUUGAUUUGGAUUUGUUGGCGAUUUUUGUUCACAGUUGAUGUUCUUAGUGUGUGUGUGUAUGAUGUGUUGGUGUUGCUGGGUUAAUUUGUUUUUUGUCUUGGUAAAAAUGGUGUUGCGACAGAUGAAAUAUCUGAUGCAACAGAUAAAAGAUUUGAUGUGUUAGAUAAAGAUAUCUGAUGCAACAGAUGAAAACAUCUGAUGCAACAGAUUAAAAUCUGAUGUAACUAUGAAAAUCUGAUGCAAUAGAUGAACAAUCUAACAGAUCAUUCAUCUAUUGCGACAGAAGACUCUUCUAUUUGGAAGAAAUCUAAACAAUAUUGAUCCAACAAAUAACUCAUUUUGCAAUAAAUGAGUGAUAUGUUUCAAUAAUUUAGUGAUCUAUUUCUAUUGUCUCCAACUGUUUACUCAUCCGUUGCAAUAGAUAACAUACCUGGUACAACAGAUUAGUGAUCUAUUUUUAUGGUUUUCAAUGAAUUACUCAUCCGUUGCAACAGGUUGGUUAUAUAUUACAACAGAUAAACUACCUGGUGCAACAGAUUAGUGAUCUAUUUUUAUGGUUUCCAAUGGAUUAAUCAUCUGUUGCAAUAGGUUGAUUAUAUGUUGCAACAGAUAAACUAUUUGGUACACCAGAUUAGUAAUCUGUUUUAUGGUUUCCAAUAGAUUACUCAUUCAUCGCAACAAAUUGGUUAUAUGUUGCAAUAGAUAAGCUACCUGGUGUAAUAGAUUAAUGAUCUGUUUUUAUGGUUUCCAAUGGAUUACUCAUUCUUGCAACAGGUUGGUUAUAUAUUGUAACAGAUAAACUACCUGGAAAUAUAUUAGUGAUCUAUUUUUACUAUUUCUAACGGAUUACUCAUUCUUGCAACAGGUUGGUUAUAUGUUACAAUAGAUAAACUACAUGGUACAACAGAUUAGUGAUCUGUUUUUAUAGUUUCUAAUGGAUUACUCAUCCUUAUAAUAGGUUGGUUAUAUGUUGCAACAGAUAAACUACCUGGUGCAACAGAUUAGUGAUCUAUUUUUAUGAUUUCCAACGGAUUACUCAUCCGUUGCAACAAGUUGAUUAUAUGUUGUAACAGAUAAACUACCUGGUGCAACAGUGAUCUGUUUUUAUGGUUUUCAAUGGUUUACUCAUCUAUUGCAACAGGUCGGCUAUAUGUUGCAUCAGAUAAAAUACCUGGUGCAAUUGAUUAGUGAUUUAUUUUUAUUGUUUCCAACGGCUUACUCAUCUAUUUCAACAAGUCGGUUAUAUGUUGCAACAGAUAACAUACCGGUACAACAGAUGUGUGGUCUGUUGGAACUGUUAUUUUACCUUUGUGCAUAUUAGAUUUACUCUUAUCCUAUUUUAAUGAUGCAUUAAUCAAUUAUAAUCUAUUUUAUGUUCCUGUUAAUUUAAGAUAAUAUGGAUCCCAAAAUAAAAAAAACCCCAAUCAAGUCCAAGUAAAGGAACAAGUACAGCAACUCGGCUACAUCCACCACUCUAUGAGCUUGCUUUACAAGCGUUAUCUUAAUUAGGAGCAGAAGAUAAUGAGCACGGGGAGGAAGAAUAUCUCAAAAGAGAUGAUCCAAAUGCUUAUAGCCAUUCCAUUGAAGAGUUGAUCAAAACCUUUAGCAUUGAUCAUUAUCCUGUUAGUAUGCAACGCGAUGGUACCACAGAUUUAACGGGUGAUUUCGUGGUUAAGUCGAUCAUGGGAAAAUCUUUCGACGCCUUCAGAAAAAUACUUUGAGAACAAAAAUUGGAUACUUAUUUCAGGAAAAGCUGCUUUGGGCAAUAUCUUAAUUUGCUGGAGGACAACAAUGCCCAUUUCUAGAUGAAAAUGGUAUGCGAUAUUCUCAAGCUUAGGUUUAUGUAUGAAAACAAAGACAAAAUGGAUGAGGUAUGGAUAAAUUACUGUGGCAUGCCUAUUUGUUUUGGUUGGAAGGACUUUGUCAUAGUUACCGGACUAAAAUGUUAUCCUCCUUCUCCUUCUCAAGUUAUACCUACUCUGACCUAAAAAAAAACACCCUGCACACCCCAAAAAAGGCAAAGGCAAGUCAAGUGAUCGUGAGGACCUGGUGUCCAUUGUUGGUCCAUGCUUCAGAAACAAAAAUUUAAUAGAAGCGUUGAAAGGUAAAGGACUCUUAAAGAAGCACAAGCAAUCAUUGUGCUUGGUUUGUUUGUACAUAAUAUUCUUUAGGCGAGAGACGUUAACAACAACAUAAGCCCCGAUUUAAUAAAUCUCUCUAUGAAAUCUUCAAAAUGACUGUUCAAUAUUUUGCUGACUCCGUUAACACCAAAGACAGUCAACUUAUAUGGCUUUCCAUGGGCCUUUAUUGUAAAUAUUUCUUUUAUCAUGAUAUAAUUCAUCAUAUUUUUUAUUCAAUAAUGCUUUUGAUUUAUUGGCCUUAUGUUAUAGGCUUGGACUUUUGAAGCCAUUCGUUAUUUGAGAAAACAAGUGAACUACCAGAAAGAAGUUUUCUGUCCAAGAAUCUUGAGAUGGUUGUCGGCUAAAACUAAUAAAAAUGCAAAAUUUCUUGAUCUUUUCAACCCUCCGAAGGAAGCAGUAAGUCCAAUUCUAAUCAAGUUUUUGUUUUAAUUAGUGAUUAUUUUAAAUGAUUUCAUUAUCAUUCUAAUAUAUGUACUGAUUAUUUUAGAUUGUCCAUCUAUGGCUUGUUCUGACCAACCGAGAAUUGAAGAUGCUAUUUUUUCUUACUUUACGAUCUUUGCAAACUUUAUCGGACCCUGAGGUCAUUAAUGGAAUAAAAAUGGAAUUGUUUGGAAUAAAAACUAUUAGAAUUAAAACAAUUUUGGAGGGUGGGCUUGUUUUUGUUGAUGAUGGUAGUGGUAGUGGUGCUGCUAUUGGGGCUAAUAAUACUCCUCUUAUAGUUUUUGAAACAAAAAGCCAUACGAUUAUGAUCAUACUGGUUGUAAAGAUUUUUUCCAGAUUUUUCCACAUCUAGCGAAUGUUCUGCAUGCAAAUGUCAAGACUGCAAGGCAAAAAAUGAUGGAGUGACUAAUGCUAUUAAUGCACUAACUGUUUCUAUAAAGGAAAUGGCAUCUAAGAGUGGUGUCAUUCCAUCAAAAAGGAUUUCAUAUCCAUACACUCCAUUAGAGAUCAAGGCGGCUAAGAGGAGAAAGAAAGAUACUUCCAAGGUAUCAUCAAGCAUAAAAAAAAAGCAAAAUUACAACGUCUCUGUCUUUGUCUUGCACCGUUGUUCAGUGUGCAAGGGCCACAGGAGAGCAGCAUAAGCCAAAGAAGAUGAAUGUACAUCAUCUGUUCCAACAAACAAAGAGGCACAUAUCUGUUUCAACAGCUGAUACAUCUGCUUAAAAUUAUCAAACAAAUAUAUACAUCUAUUGCAACUGUUGGCUAACCUGUUGUAUCAGAUGUAUUAUCUGUUGCAACAAAUGAGUCUUAUGUUGCAACAGAUGAGUCAUCUAUUCAAAAUUAUCAUACUGCUCUGAUUUACCUAUUAGAAUUUGUCCCAAUAGAUGAUCCAUCUAUUGCAAUAUAAGGCUCAUCUAUUGUAACAGAUGGACAAUCUGUUGUAUAUCUGUAAUUAGCAUUGAUAAUUUCUGACUUUUCAGGUGCAUAUCACAGCAGAAGCCACUUCUGAAGAGCAUAAUAUCACAGUUAAUAAUCCAUUAACUGCUUCCAAAAAAGAAGAAAAAAUGGAGCUGUCAAUUUAAGAGAACGGAAAAAUUACCCGUUUGAAAGGUUAAACAUCUUGGACGAGGCUCUAAAAAAACUAACACAGUUGAUCAACGACUAUUCAGAAUGAAUUGCCGAUGGGCUAUUAAAGCAUCAUGCCGGUAGGUUCAUAAAUUAAUUUUUAAAGAUAUUGAUUUAUACGAUUCUUGUUAUAAGAACGUGACAUUAACACAUAUAAAUCAUCAUAUAAUAAACAAAAUGACGAACGCUAUAAAGUGAAUGAAUCAAUUCUUGGUUUUGAUAAUGUUCGACUUUGUUGUUCCACAUCCUGAAAUGAAGAAUUGGUUCUAUUUGAUGUCACAGGCCCAAACUUGCUAGAAUGAUGAGGUUUAAAUGUCAUACAUAUUCCUAUUAAUUAAUACUUUAUUUAAUUGCAUCUAUGUAUUAAUUUUUUUGUCACGUAAUCUAAAAUGUUUGAUAAUAUGUGCAGCACAUCUAUGUCAUUUUUUACUACCUUUAAAAGAUGGCCAAGUUGUAAAUAAUAGAACAAUAUAGAUACACGACAGGUAAUUAUUUGUACAAAGUUUACAUCAAUAAAGCCUACGAUAGGUAUUGUCAACAACAACCGGAAGCUUCCCGAAAUGAGGAAUGCUUAAACAACAUCAUCAAUGGUUUUAGCAUUUCGGCUGGCUUACCUUGACAUUUGGUCUAUGAAGUGUACAUCCCAAUCAAUUGUAGUGAUUAAUUCCAUUGGGUGUUGGUUGUCGUCGUUCUAAAAGUGAAGCGUAUCCAAGUUUAUAACUUGAUGUCACGAAUGAGACGUUCCGAGCCGUCGUCUGAGAUACAAAAGCUGUCCAAAAUAUUGCCUACUUACCUUGAUAUGAGUGGUUUUUUAGACCAAAAGGUUCAUACUGAUUGGUCGACGAUUGAAGCAUACCGAGAUAAAAUGGGAAAUCCAUUUAAUGUACAAUAUGUUGAAGGAAUUGCUCAGUAAACCAUUGGUAGCCUGUAAGUUUAAGUGUCAUGAUUUAGUUUUAUUUCACAAAUUUCACAACGCUUGCAUGAACGACAAGAUAUGGAUUAUCUAUUUUUUAAAAUGCAGGGGCUGCGGUCUUUUUAUUGCCGCGUACGCCGAGUAUUUGAGCGAUGGGUUACAAGUACCAAAUGAUAGGCUUGAUGUCGGAUUACUUCGCAACAGAUAUGCUGCUCUUUUAUGGAAAUACAGAGGAGCGAAAGCUCAAAAGCCGUACACAAGCGACAUUAAAGAUCCACGAUGAUCAAAGCAGAAUUCCGCAGCACCGGAUGAAGAACAACUUGUCCAUAUUGAGUAGAUCUUUAUAGCUUGAGUUCGUCAAUGUAAUAAUCUAUCCUCCUUGGUUUAACUUGUUGAUUUAUUUGUAGAGUAGAUCAUUUGUACCCAUAAUAAUUUUUUCAUAUUUCAUUUAUUUGUUGAGUUAUUUCAUGUAAUUUUCGAAGGCUUCAACUUAUUUUAUGCUAUUUAUGAAUAUAAUUUAAUCCUUAGUUUUGAACAUGUUAAUUGAAAUGGAAUACUAGAUUCAAAUAUCUCAACAGAUAAUACAUUUGUUGUAACAGACGACAUAUCUUAUCAAAUAGAUUUAGACAUAUGUUGCAACAUGAGAUGCAACACGUAGGUCAUUUGUUGGAAAUUAUAUAAUAAGUCUUCCUACUUUUUUGAUUUUUUCCAACAGAUUACCUAUCAGUUGCAACAGAUAGAUUAUAUGUUGCAACAGAUUAGAUAUAUGUUGCAACAGACUGGAAAAUAUCUAUUAAUACAACAGAUGACCAACCUAUUCCAACAGAUAAUCAAUCUGUCACAAUAGGUAUUAUAUCUGUUAGAACAGAUAUACUAUCUAUUGCAUUAUAAAAAUUCAACUUGUCCAGUAUAAAAAUUAUUGCCACUACAUGUAAAGUGAAGUGGCUUGAAAUGAAAAAUUAUUAUCGUGUUCGUCUCUGUCUUUAUACAUAUUCUUCUUUAUACACGGGCUCCAACCAUUUAGUUAGUACCCCAUAAUCCCAGACUCAUUAUAUCUUUCCUACAACGGCGUCGUACAUAUCGGUCAUUUCUGUUCCAGUCAGCAAACACUCGAUGUAUGUAAGUGAGUAUGGCCCGCACGCUGCAUCGAUUUUAUUUUUUGGGAGCUGGAUAUUCUUAUUUCGACCUUCAAAAUCCCAUGAUUCCUUCGUCAAGAGUUCAGCCGGCAAAUAAUCCAUCAGCUUACUCUGCGUCAACAACUUGGGCAACAACUUUACGAGUGGCUGCAUGUGGGCUAAAAAUAUGUCCUCGAUGAAGACAGGUAAGUUGCAGUUAUGAACCUUAAUCUUUCCCUCGUAGAGUAGUAUCUCAUAUAAUAAUAAUUUACAGUUAGUUGGAUUACAUGGAUGUUAACACAGCCAACUUAUGCAACAGACGAUCUAGCUGCUGCAACAGCUGAUCUGUAUGUCGCAACAGAUUGAUAAUAUGUUACAUCAGAUUAUACAUCUAUUGCAUAAUCUGCAUUAGAUGGGUAAUCUAUUGAGUCGAGUUUAGAGAACCAGAGCAACAGAUGAUAAAUCCGUAGUGAAAUAUGGAUCGUCUAUCGCAACAGAUUACUCAUCUGUUUUACUAGUUGUAGUUGCGGGUAAUCUGUUGCAAUAGAUAACUCAUCUGUUGCAACAGAUGGAACAUCUGUUUCAAUAUCUUUCUUUGAGGCAAAUUAUUUUAUUGAAAGAAGAAGUACUGUAUCAUCCGAAGGUUUAAAGACAUCAGGAUCUUUAAAAUAUUUUUUGUCGCUCUUUGUUGCAUCCAACCACCAAAGGAUCCUUGGAUAAGAAACCUUAUCCAAGUAAUCCUUGAACUGCUUUCAGGGGGGAGGAAUGGCUUCACUUGGCCAAGCCAAAAAAAUGUAAACAGGAAGCAAUUAAAAAAAAUUCAUAAUAACUAUAUUCAAUAUAAAUUAAUGAAUGAGUAAAACUAGUGAUCAAUUUUACCAUGAAAGCCUAGAGAAAGCCGUAUAAUGUGAUCGUCUUUGGGGAUAGCUUUGUCAGUAAAUAUUCGACAAUCAAGUAGUAGCUAUCAUAUCCCUUGAGAUAAUCGUUGAAUUUUCCAAAAUCAUCAGCAAGUACCAACAAAUUAUGUUCUAUGACUUUCCUGACGUCUCUUGCUAAUAAAACAGAAUGGACAAACCAAACUAAGCAUAAUUUCUCCCUGUAGUGCUUUGGUAUGUUUUUAUUCUCAAGAUCUGCCAUAAAAUCCUCCCCUUUAUAGCUAGGUCCAACAAUGCCCAACAACCCAUCUUUUUUACCUUGCAUUUAUUGGACCCUUUGUGGGCUAUUUCCUUGAUGAGAGGUUCUUCUGGACGAUCGUAUCUCAAGCCCAUCACAAUGGCAAACUCUUUUAAUCCAAAACUAAUCGGCAUGCCAUAGUAGUUGAAUCAGACUUCAUCCAUCUUUUUCCUGCCCUCCUUCGAAUCUUUGUCAUCCCCCACAUACUUGAUCCUGCGCUUGAGAAGUCCAUAUACCAUGCUCAUUGGGAAAUGGAGAGUGCGUUCCUCAGACAACUCCAGAAAGUAUGCAAAGUAGCUCUUCUUAAAAAGUCCAUCAAUGUUUUCAUUCUUCAUAAUACUCCUAAGUUCGUCAAAAGGUUUUCCCAACUGGCAUUUAACUACAAGAUCACCAAAUACUGUGUUAGGGAUAUUCAUCGGCAUAACAACUCGAAACUUAUCAAUAUAAAUAGAUUGGACAGAAUCAUGUUGGGAUUUCGAUAUUAUUUCACGCCCCAUUGGUGAAAAAGAAGUUUUCACUUUCCUCAGUUUUAUUUUGCCCUGACUGAGAUUGUUUUGGAAGUUCCUACGAAUUUAUCUGUACUUCAGCCUUUUUUGUUUGGUGAUCAGAAGUUGAUCCACUUUUUUCACUUUCAGAUUCUUUUCUUUGGGGAGACAUCUUUUAACUACAAACAAUAGAAAAACAAAAAAUACAUUACAUUUGAUGUCUGCAUAAUUUUUUAAAAAAAGGUAAGACAAAUUUUAAUAAAUUAUUUUAUACCACAUUACAAAAAAAUACUCCAACAGAUAACCCAUCAUUUGGAACAAAGGGGGAAUCUGUUUAAAGACUUAUUUAAUAUCUCCCAACAGAUCUUCCACUUAUUACAAUAGAUGGACCACCACCACCACAACCAAUGCCACCAAGACCACCACCAAUGCCACCAAUACCAAUACCAAGACCACCGACACCACCACCAACAGAUACAAAUAACACGAAAAACACCAUCCAAUAAUACCACGACAUUCAACAAAACACUGAGAUAAAAACUAGGAUUUUCUCGGGUGCUUCCUCCACUUUUAGCAUCAACACACAAAAUUGUUAACCCAUUCUCGAAGAUAAUACAACUAAAAGUCUUCUUUUUUAUCAUUAACUAAAAAGCCCUAAUUUUUAGAAUAAAGAACAAAAGUAGAACUCUUCUCGAACAAUGUUACCUACGAAGACAGAGAAAAUAAUGGAGUCGAAAAUAACAACUAUGUGGUCAGAAAUGAAAAGAAAAUCAAUCUGUUUUGAAGGAUUGAGCAAUAUGUUGAGUAUUUGUUGUCUGUAUUGCUGAGAUAGAUAGAGAAAGAGAGAAGAGAGAACUUGAGAUUUGAAAUGACGAAAAGUUCUUCCCGUAAAUGGAUGAUUUGUAUGGGUUGAUUUGUAAUUUAGAAAAGAAUGACAAGUUUUGAAAUUGUUAAUUUGGUCUGAAUUGAUCUUAAUUAAUUUUUAAAAUUUCAAAAGACAUAGUAUUUAAAAUAUUAAGUUAAUGAGAACUCAUUUCAACUCAGAGUGAUCGAUCGAUGACUCGGGUCAGGAUGAAUGCAACACCAACACCAUGCAAAUGCAAUAACUCAAUUGAAGUUGUUGUUGACCCUGUAAGCUCAUUCAUUCAUCCCUAGUUCCACCUAAAUCAAUUUAGGUACUAUUAAUCUUAACAUUAAGUUAGUGAGAACUCAUUUCAACACAGAGUGAUCGAUCGAUGACUUAGGUCGGGAUGAACACAAUACCAACACCAUGCAAAUGCAAUAACUCAAUUAAAGUUGUUAUUGACCGUGCGAGCUUAUUCAUUCAUCCCUAGUUCCACCUAAAUCAAUUUAGGUACUAUUAAUCUUAACAUUAAGUUAAUCAAAACUCAUUUCAACUCCGAGUGAUAGAUCGAUGACUCGUGUCGGGAUGAAUGUAAUACCAACAUCAUGCAAAUCCUAUGACUCAGUUGAAGUUGUUGUUGACCCCGUGAGCUCAUUCAUUCAUCCCUAGUUCCACCUAAAUCAAUUUAGGUACUAUUAAUCUUAACAUUAAGUUAAUGAGACCUCAUUUCAACUCAGAGUGAUCGAUCAAUGACUCAGGUUAGAAUGAAUGCAAUACCAACACCAUGCAAAUGCAACGACUCAAUUGAAGUUGUUGUUGACCCUAAGCGCUCAUUCAUUCAUCCCUAGUUCCACCUAAUUCAAUUUAGGUACUAUUAAUCUUAACAUUAAGUUAAUGAGAACUCAUUUCAACUUAGAGUGAUCGAUCAACGACUCGGGUCAGGAUGAACGCAAUGCCACCACCAUGCAAAUACAAUGACUCAAUUAAAGUUGUUGUUGAUCCUGUGAUCUCAUUCAUUCAUCCCUAGUUCCACCUAAAUCAAUUACAAUAAUAUUUGUUGCAAUAAACGAUUGAGCUGUUGGAUAUUUUGAAAUAGAUAAUCAUAUCUAUUGCAAAAGACGACAUAUCUAUUUGAAAAUCUUUUUUUUAUUUUAAUUUUAAAGCAAGCUUCUGUCCGAAAAGAUAAAGUAGUACUACUAAAGGAGGUAAAAAAUGUUUCUUGGAUAACUCAAAAAUCUUAUUGAGUAGUCUUGUGUUAUCUUUUCAAUGUCACCUAUUUUCUUCCUCGUGCCGCUCAAAUUAUUAAUGAAUAUUAAUUAAUAAAUAUUGAAACCCCUAAUACUUCCUCCGUUUCAUAUUAGUGGGCCCCUAUUGACUUGGCACACCCAUUAAGAAAAUACUAAAUAGGGGUUUAUUUUACCAAAUUAGUCUUAUUAAUUAUGCUUUGAAAAUAUAAAUUUGUAUAAAUACACUUUGUUUAGUCAUGUAAUAUUAAGGGCAGUACAUCUAGAAAUUAGAAUUAUAUCAUCUCUUCUUCAGUCCUAAAUUUAUUUUAUCAUCUCUCAUCUUUUUCAUUCUCUCCUCUUUAGGGUUAUCACAACUUUUUUAUCUCCUCUUUCUCAUAAAGAUCCUUUCGGAUCUAAACUGAUCUAUAUCUUUGAUUCCUCGACUUAAAUUGUUAUUUUGAUCCCCUUUUGACAUUAAGUAUGGUUCACUAUUGCUCUUUCAUUCUCGUCUUCUUCUUUGCAAGUUAUUUAUAUCUGUUUUUUUAUUUAAUUACCAUUUACUCAUAUCAUAUUUAUUUUAAAAAUCUGAAUGAACUUUUAAUUAUUGAAUAAAUGAAUCGAGAAUUUUUAUUACAAUAUGUGAUAAAAGUCAUCUGUUGGGAGAAGUUUAAAAGCCUUGUUGGCAGUAUCAUUUUUUUUGUAUGUAUUUUGUUUGUUUCGUUGUUGUUGAUGUUGUUAUUGAUGUUGUUGGUGGGGUUGGCAUUGUUGGACUUAUGGUGUGGUGUUGUUGAUGGUGUUGGAACAUAGGAUGUUGCUUCUUUGUUGUUGAUGAUGUUGUUGGAAUAAAUGUUGUUGUUUUCUUUGUUGUUGGUGUUUUUUAUUUGUUAUUUCUUUGUAGUUAUGUUGUUAUUGAUGUUGCAACAGAUGGAGCAACUGUUGGAACGAAUCAAACCACCAGCAAGGCUGGUUUGAUGUAUUCCAAUAGACUUCACAUUUGUUGCAACAGACUCCACAUCUGUUGUAUCAGACUCCACAUUUGAUGAACAGACUCUUCAUCUGAUGCAACAGACUCCUCAUCAAAUGCAACAGAUGGAUAAUGUUCUUUCUGUGACAUUAAUUUUUUUCCUCUUCUUUGUAGAUAUAAGGAACUGAAAGUUGAUCAACUUUUUCCCGACCAUCACAAGAGGCUACAGCAAAAAUGGGUUCGAAGGAAUAAGUGUAUGCAGAUGGAACCACUUCAUAUAUGGGAGAUAUGUGUUACUGAUAAUCCAGUCGGGAAGAUCAGACUAGACCUUUUCGAAGUCGGAAGCAGGUCAGAAUUCUAGCUUCCUCUAUUUAGUUAGGAAAGCCAGAAGUCAUGAUAUUUAGUUAACACGACCUUAGGCUCAGCCUUUAGGAGUGCAGGCACGACUAGCUUACUCCAACCUUCUUGUGUGACCGCGUAGAAAGAGUACCAUGCUGCGUCUAGACUUCAAACAGUUUGUUUUAACCAUGUUAAUAGUUCCACAUUAUUGGUUAAUAGAGAAUCAAAAUCGAUUUACCAAUCUGGAUAUACCAAGAAAGAUGUACGGUCUAAUGAGGCUACUAUGAAAUAUUUAUUUUUUUCAUUCAACAAAGCCUUCUUUCAUAGAUAAUCAGUAGUAUUCCUCUCGCUAGCUAUUCUGAGUAAGAGGGGGAGGACUUGAUGUGACUACUAUUAGACCUCCAACCCCGAGAGACGUAUUAUCAUGGAAACACACAUAGAUUAUACUAAUUUUGUGAAUGUUAUUUUUACCAAUUAGUCAUAGAUCAUUCAAACGAGAUAUCUGUAAUUUUAUAGUUAGGUUUGAUAGGUUCGAACUGAUAAAGUUGAGGGACCUAAAUAUGGUUCUGAUACCCUGUUAAGAUUCAAUGUCGGUUGUUGCUCAUGUUUAUUUGUUAAGCAUUACGAAGGGAUCUAGUUUUGGUGUCAUUGUAAAGAGAUUCAAUAGCGAUUGGACUAACUUUUAGGGUGCAUGGACUCUGAGAAGGACUUUGAAGCCUAGCACUACAUCAAACAAGAAUGGAAAACCAAUAUAGUUAUUCUCCUAGCCCAAAUUUAUAUGGUAGGGUUGCUCAGGAUGGUGAUUAUAUGCCAAUAGGUGCGUUAGGAGAAUGACUUCGAGGGAAAAUGGGUGAUUGAUGAAAGACUAUAUCAUCUGAGAGCUAAUUGAAGAAGAGACAUAGGGUAGAAAGUAACUUCUAGUGAAUCUGGACGAUGGAAUUAUCUUAAAACGUGAGAAAUCUGAAUCAAGUGCAAAUAUAAAAGUAUAUCCGAUAAUGUAAAUUCGUUUGUUGUCUCUCUGAAAGAAAAAUAAUACAGAUAAUCACUUUGCUAGGGAGUUGCGACUAGGUAGUGCGGUCUGGAUUAUCACCUAGAUAGAAAAUAGCAGAAGACUAAGAAAGCAGCCUUAAGGGCAUCGAGGGUUGAAAUAAUGUACAAUAAGUCUAGAAAACUUGUGCCAACAGCAACUGCAGUUAAAGUAAGGAAUCUAACCAAAGGCAGUAACUUUUUGAAUUUUAAAUUGAAUCUCAUGCCUUCUUGUUUGUGGUUCCGAUUAGGUCCACUAUUGUUGACCUGAUCGAAACCACAAACGUGAUUAAAAGGCACAUUGAGUAUCAUUACUUCCUUAGCAAUAUGGAUUAAUUGAUUGUGUUUUAUAGCCUUAGCAUGCUUUCAACAUUUCUUGAAGAAGAUCAGAGGGAGGCUUGCUUUAGUUUGUGAAUUUCGAUAAUUUUCAAACUUGCCUCCAGCUUGCUGAUUCUGUAUUCAAGCGUGUCGUUGCCAUCUUUAAAGUUGGUCAAGAGUUCCCGAUCUCUUGUGAGCUCGAUCAGGAACACUACUUUCAAAGUUGUGGUAUUUUAGAAGGCGUUCAGAACACUUUCUUUAGAAGUCUUAAAGGACACAUAGAGGGUCGUUGUGUUUGCUUUAGUUCAAAAUAUAUUGAUGCACACUAAAGAUAUGGUCCCAGCAGUUGAACAACACACUUUUAUUGAGCGUUGCUCAAUCAAUUUGAUAAAUUAAUAAGUAAGGAGUUAUGUAACGUGUGAUCUAAAUCGACUCUACCAAGCCUAUCAAACGUUAUAUAACUCCAGGCUCAUUACCCUAUCAAAAAAAUUUGAUCAAGUUAGUGCACAAAUCAAACGAGCUCAAUCUCUCAGCCUUUCUGCUGAUCGCUCUUCUCCAAUAUAGAUGACAAAAUAUCUGCUAUGCAAAAGUCUUCACCAUCGCCAGAAAUGCUUGCCAGGGUGCAAGUCUUCAAAAGGCAUCAACAGUAAUCUCUCAAUAUCAAGUGGUAUUGAGAGAUUACUAGUCAUGCCUUCUCAAGACAUUCGCUACGGCAAGAAUUUCUGUUGAUUAUAAGAUAUCUGUCAUGCAAAAGUCUACACAAUCAACAGAAAUUCUUCCCAGAGUGAAAGUCUUCAGAAGUCAUCAUUAGUAAUCUCUCAACAUCAAGGAAGUCUUGUACAAAAGUCUUCAAAAGAUAAUAAAAAAUAAGAAAGUUUUUAGCAAUGACUACACAUAAUUGCUGCAUCAACAACCUCACCAGAUUCACUCCUCAUACAAAAGAAAAGGCAGAAAUAUUUUUAUUUGCAUUCGCAUGUUAUUUAUUUAACAAACCAAACAAAUAUGAAUUAAAUAAAUAACAUGCGAAUGCAAAUAAAAAUAUUUCUGCCUUUUCUUUUGUAUGAGGAGUGAAUCUGGUGAGGUUAUUGAUGCAGCAAUUAUGUGUAGUCAUUGCUAAAAACUUUCUUAUUUUUUAUUAUCUUUUGAAGACUUUUGUACAAGACUUCCUUGAUGUUGAGAGAUUACUAAUGAUGACUUCUGAAGACUUUCACUCUGGGAAGAAUUUCUGUUGAUUGUGUAGACUUUUGCAUGACAGAUAUCUUAUAAUCAACAGAAAUUCUUGCCGUAGCGAAUGUCUUGAGAAGGCAUGACUAGUAAUCUCUCAAUACCACUUGAUAUUGAGAGAUUACUGUUGAUGCCUUCUGAAUACUUGCGCCCUCGCAAGCAUUUCUAGUGACGGUAAAGACUUUUGCAUAGCAGAUAUCUUGUCAUCUAUAUUAGAGAAGAGCGAUCAGCAGAAAGGCUGAGAGAUUAAGCUUGUUUGAUUUGUGCACUAACUCGGUCAAAUUUUUUUGAUAGGGUAAUGAGCCUGGAGUUACGUAAUGUUUGAUAGGCUUGGUAGAGUCAUGUUAGAUCACACGCUACGUAACUCCUUGCUUAUUAAUUUAUCAAAUUGAUUGAGCAAGCUGCAUUGAACAACGCUCAAUAAAAGUAUGUUGUCCAACUGUUGGGACCACAUCUUCAGUGUGCAUCAACACAUUUAGACCAAAAACAAACACAUCGACCCUCCAUGUAUCUUUUAAGGCUUCUGAAGAAAGUGUUCUAAAGGCCUUCUUCAAUGCCACAACUUUGAAGGUAGUGUUCCUGAUCGAGCUCACAAGAGAUCAGGAACUCUAUACUAACUUCGAAGAUGGCAACGAUCGUCUUUAAUACAGAAUCAGCAAGCUGGAGGCAAGCUUGAAAAUUAUCGAAAUUCACAAACUAGACAAAGCCUCUGAUCUUCUCCAAGAAAUACUGAAAGCAUGCUAAGGCUAUAAAACAUGAUAAAUUAAUCCAUAUUGCUAAGGAAGUAAUAAUACUUAAUUUUUUUCAAUCACGUUUGUGGUUCCGAUCAGGUCAACAACAGUGGACCUAAUCGGAACCACAAACAAGAAGGGAUGAGAUGCAAUUUAAAAUUUAGAAAUUGCCGCCUUCGCUUAGAUUUCUUACUUUAACUGCAGUUGUUGUUGGGGUAACAAGUUUUCUAGACUUACUGUACAUCAUUCAACCCUUGAUGCCCAUAUGGCUGCUUUCUUAGUCUUCUGUUAUUUUCUAUCUAGGUGAUAAUCCCGACCACGCUACCUAGUCGCAGCUCCUUAGCAAAGUGUCCAUCUGCAUUAUUUUUCUUUCAGAGAGACAACAAACGAAUUUACAUUACCAGAUACACUUUCAUAUUUGCACUUUUCAGAUUUCUCAUGUUUUAAGAUAAUUCCAUCGGCUAGAUUCGCUAGAAGCUACUUUCUACCCUAUGUCUCUUUUCUUCAAUUAGCUUUCAAAUGAUAUAGUCUUUCAUCAACUCCCCUUUCCGUCGCAGGCAUUCUCCUUCAGCUCCUUCUGGCGUAUAAUCAUCUUCUCGAUCAACCCUUCCAUAUAAAUUUGGGCCAGGGGAAUUUCUAUUGGUUUUCGAUUCUUGUUUGAUGCAGUGGGAGACUUUGAAGGUGUUCUCAGAGUCCAAUGCAUACUUAAAAUUAAGUCCAAACGCUAUUGGUUCUCUGCAAUGACACUAAAUAUUGAUCCCUUCUCAAAACUUGAAACGCAUAAACUCGAGCAACAACCGUCAGUAAUUCAUAAUAGUGUAUCUGCACCAUCUUCAUGAGGCCCUCAGCCUUAUCAAUUUGAACUCAUCAAACUUAACUGUAAAAUGCAGAAUCUUGUUUGAAUGAUCAGUGCCUAAUCGGUUAAAAACUGCAUUCACAAAAACAUUAUACUUUGUGUGUGUUAUCCCGAUAACUUUAUCAGUAAUACUACUUAAAUCACACACAUAUGAUAGUGGAUCCAUCUGCAUGUACCUUAUUCUUCCUAGCCUAUCUAUGAAUUAAAUUGAAUAAACAGAUGAUUAGCAAGUUACAACAGACGCCACAUCUGUUGGAAAAGCAAACUGAUAUAUCCAUCUGUUGCAACAGAUUGUCAAUAUGUUGUAAGUUAUCUGACAGAUGGAAUAUAUUGUUCAACAGAUUACCCAUCUUUUAGAUUUAUUUUAAAGAAUUUUUCUUUUCUUUCCGAAAUACAAUAAAAAGAUAAAAUAUUGUAUUUAGAUCCCUUUUUUUAAUCUACAUAUUCGAAAUGUCACCAGUUUUAUUUAAUUAAGGGAUAUGAAUAGUCGUGGCUUUUUGUUUGACUAAGUCACCCCUUCCAGUUCAAUCAUUUAUGAAUAGGUCCCUCCGGCCUCCUUUCCUUACUCCCUUCCUUACUCUCACUCGUUCAUUCUACUACACUUACAAUAUAAAUAUGGAUGAUCUAGAUUCAUACAAGAAGAUUUAUAUCGAGUCCUUCCGAGAACUCCAGAGAGAUUUGGCCGACUUCGGAGCAAGGCUGAGAAGGGUCCUACUGCUGCCGGAAAAAAAUUGUCCGAUUGACAAUAAUAAUAGUAAUAAUAGUAAUAAUAAUAACAGUAACGGUAAUAAUAAUAGUAGUAAUAAUAAUUAGGUUAUAUUUUUUCUUUCUUUUAGCAUAUGCAUUUUCCUUUUUUAUAUCGAAUCUACCUAUAAGGGAUUCAAAAAUCUAUGUAUAUGUUUUGUUUGAUUUGGUUUGGUCGACUUUGAAUUUUUAAUUCUUAUUUAAUAUUUAAUUAUCAUUCUAUUUAUACCCCAUUCUCAACAUGUCGACGGUUGGAGGUAGAGAUUGAACACUUGUGGCAACAGAGGGUGGUGAAAAGUCAUGAUUCUCCUAAAAAUGGUUCGUUACUAAAUAAUAAGGAACUAAAUGAUAUACACAAUUUAUAACCAUAAAAGAAAUAUUAUUUAAGUUAAAAAAAAAAGUCACAACAUUGGAUUAAUUAAGUUAUAUGAUGAUUGUUAAGAAAAAGGUGAAUAGUCGUGACUGUGACUUUUUGUCUAAACACAUUCAACAAACAAACAAUGCUACUGAUGUAUCAAAUUCCUCAUCUGUUGCGACUGAUGAAUCAACUGUUAGAACAAAAUUUAAAAAACUCCUAAAACAAGUGGUCGAUUUAUUGCAACAGAUAUACAAUAUGUUGCCAAAACUCAAUAAACAAAAUGGUUAUUAUUUUAUUAAAGAAAUGGUUAUGGAAAACCAAGUGUCUUCGAUUUUUAAAUUGAGAAAAAAAUUUAAUUUAAAUUUAAGACCUAAUUAAUAAUAAUAAGCAGAAAAGUCAUGACUUGUCACAAUAAUUAAAAAAUUCACCAGCUUGAUUUAAUUAAGUCAUUUUUUUCACAGAAAAUAAUAAGGAAAUAAAUGAUAAACACAAUUUAAACCGUAAAAAACUCACCAAUUUUUUUUUUAUUUUUAAAUCUAUUUUAUUAAUUUAUAUAAUAAAAAAGUCAGCAAAUUUGUAUUAAUAUGAUGAUAUUUUUUUUAAAAAAAAGAUAGAUUAUAUGUUGCAACAGAUCGAUUAUCUGAUGCAACAGGUUAUCUAUUUGUUGCCAUGGAUGAUAUAUCUAUUGUCACAGAUGAGUUAUCUGAUGCAACAGAUAUAGAAUCUGUUGUCACAACUCAAUAUAAAAAUGGUUCCUAGAAAGAACUAAUUGUUAAUAAUAAUAAGCUGAAAAGUCAUAACUUAUCACAAUAUUGCUUAAUUUAAUUAUGUCAACUUUUUACAGUAAUCAAGAAUGUCAUUAAUAAAUGAAGGUGAACAGUUGCACCUUUAAAUAUGUUUAUUAAUUUAUAUAAUUAAAAAGUCAAAAAAUUUAGAUGUCAUGAUGAUAAUUUAAAAAUAAAGAUAUAUAGAUUAUAUGUUGCAACAAAUAUAUUAUCUAAUACAACAGGUUAUCUAUUUGUUACAACAGAUGAUAUAUCUGUUGUCACAGAUUAGUUAUCUGAUGCAACAGAUAUAUAAUCUGUUGUCAUAACUCAAUAUAAAAAUGGUUCCUGAAAAGAACUAAUUAUUAAUAAUAAUAAGCUGAAAAGUCAUGACUUAUCACAAUAUUGUUUAAUUUAAUUAAGUCAUAACUUUUCACAAUAAGCAAGAUAUGUCAUUAAUAAAUGGAGGUGAACAGUUGUGACUUUUUGCCUAACACAUUCAAUCCUCUAUAAAUAGGUCCCUCCUUACUCAAUCGUUCAUUUUACUACACUCUAUUUAUUCCUUGCUCUUGUUACACCUUCAACUAUUUUCUCUUCAAGGACUUGAUAGCUUUUUUCUGUCUCUGGUAAGUUUUUUUCUUGAUUUUUGUGUAAAUAUACGUUGUAUUACAUUCGAAUUCUUUCUUUUCUUUUCUUUUUAUUUUUACGUGUGUGUUUUGUCAACUUAUGCAUUUUCUAGAUAUUGUUGAUCUAGUGUGGGAUGUCGCUAUUUUACGAGACGCCAUACGGGAACUGCAAAAGGAGGUUCAUGACCUGCAGUGGGAGUUGGCCACCGUCAAAGUAAGAAUGCUGCGGGAGAUCCGCAGGCUGAGGAGGGCGCUGCUGCUGCCGGUUGAAGAUUGACCGGCUAGCCAUACAAAUAAUAAUGAUGAUAAUAAUAAUUAAGCUUUUUUUUCUUUUACCUAUGUAUUUUUAUUUUUUUUGUUUAAUAAAAAAUUUAUGUUUGAUGCAUUUGACAUUUUAAUUCUUAUUUAAUUUUCAUGCUGUCUAUUUCUUUUUCUCAACAAAUGACAUGUCUACAAUUAAGGAAUAAUUUGAAUCCAGUAUCAAUAGCAAGAGAUCAACAUAUGAGUUGAGUUAUCUGUUGGGUUUGUGACGGGAGCUGUAUUUUAUUGUUCGAAACAGAUUAUUCAUCUGUUGCAACAGAAUAAUUAUUUGUUGCAACAGAUUACUUGUCUGUUGGAACAGAAUACUAAUCUGGUGCAACAGAUUAUUUAUCUGUUGAAAUAGAUUACUAAUCUGAUGCAAUAGAUUAUUAAUCUGUUGCAAUAGAAUACUCAUCUAUUCGAUUCAUAUUAUGGGCACCUAGAACCAUAAACAUGAAUCUAACAUGAGUCUACUGUUGCAACAGAAUAUUUGUCUGGUGCUAUAGAUGACGGAUCUAUUUAAACAGAUUGUUCUUAUGUUGCAUUCAUGCUCGCGUGCUAGCUAUUGUUGAAAAAUAAACACACUAGCAAUUACCUAGAUGACAAAUUCAACUAAAAAGCAUAAUUUGACUUACCAAAGUCUCCUCUCAAGUAAAUGCCAAAGUUGAAAGUGAUGUGUGAAACAAAAUUUGACAUAAGAAAUUGGUCAAAGAGCAGUAGUUGCGGUAACAACAACAACAACAAUGGUCAACAAGAAGAAUAUGAAGAUGAUAAUGAAGUAUAAGAUGAUGAUAAUGAAUCAGAAGAUGAUGAAUAAAGUAGCAGCAAAAAUGAACAACAAAUAUCGCGAAGAGAGAGAAAAUAACAAUAGAUGAGGAGAGAGAAAAAUAUGCUUUUUUUCCCUCCGUUUUUCGUUAUAUUAACUAACAUUUGGAUCAAAGUAUAAAUUUAAAAACUUGUGGAUUAUUUUGAAAAUUUUCAAACUUUCUUAAUCCAUAAUUAAGUAAUUAUCACCUCCACUCAAUUAUUAAGACUUGUGUCACCUACACCUCAUUUUAAAAAAAAAUUAUCACCUGUAGCCCAAAGCCCCGAGUAUAUGAGUCAAAUUACACUCCUAAUUAAUUUUUCUUAAUAGUUGUGCGAAGUUUUAUCAUGUCAACUAAAAAGGAACAAAGAAGCACUUGUCAUUUUAGAAAACUAAGAUAUCAUUAAUUUUUUUACCUUUGCCCUUCAUCAUAAAAUAUGAAGGGGCGUUAAUAUGGUGCAAAAGGGACAAGCACUGUAUUAAAUUGAAAUGAAUAAUAAAUAGGAUAAUUUAAUCAAAUUACUCGAUCUGUAGUUAAAUUUAUACUUAAAAAAUAUACAUAACAAAAAUGACAAGUACUUAAAAAUGAAAAAAAAUAUAUAUGCUGCUUUAAAAGUGUAAAUUGCAUAUCCUUUAUUGCCAUACUUAGUGCAAUAAAAAAAUAAAUGUCAAGAUAAAGCGACGGAAGCAUUGAAAGUAGAUAAAUAAGGUAUUCCAUUUGUUUAAUUUUACCGGUCUCUUAUUUUUAAAAUUAUUUUUUACUUUUACUCUCUUUAUUCAACAAUACUUGUCCAUUAUUCACUUGACACACAUGUUAAAAAAUAAUAAAUAAUAGGGACAAUUUCAUUAAAUUGCCAUUUGAAUAUAAUAAAUUUAUUGCGUUGGAAAAUGCAUUGAGGAUGAAUAAUAUUUAAUAGUAAGAAAAAUGGGUAGAAAAUGUUAAAUUGUCCAUUAAUUUUUUAAUUUGAACAAGUAUUGUGGGACAUCUACUUUUAAUAUAGUGAAAAAGUAUUAUUGGACGAAGGAAUACUUGUUAUUUUUGACAUAUGAAGAAAAAAUAAUUUUUUUUUUCAUAUUUCACCUUCAACUUCAAUUAACAUUACAACAUUGUUUGGUAAUAUUUAUAUAAGAAACUAUAAGGACUCCUAAAUCUAUUUUGAUACACAAAAAUUUUAUAUUUUAUUUUGAUGUUACUUAUUGGUGAUAUUCUUUUAAAAAAAAAUCAUGUAAUGCAAGUUACAUAUAGAAAAACUUAUAACUCAACCUCCCUUUAUUUUUUUAGCUUCCUUUUGAGACUCUUCAUUAUGAAGAUCUUUUUGACAUAGUUAUUAUUAUUUAAAUAAGACGUGAUCCUUCAGAUAAAGAAAGUAGAUUAUUAUGACUAUGAAACUUUAACCGUAUGUAUAAGACACUAUUUUUAAAAAAAUUAAAGUUGAAAGGUAUUAUAAGUUCAUGACUUCAUGUAAAUUCUAUAAACAUCAACCUUCAUGUUUCUCUUUUUUUAUAAAAGAUUAAAAAAAUCAAAUUAGGUAAAACAUAUCUUGAGGUUUUUUAUUUUCUAACCUUCAUGAGCUAUUAUGUCCAUUUGAUUUCACAUUUAAUUUGAACAAUUUAUAUAAUUAUAACUCUUUUGAUGUUACUUUUGCUUAAUGAAAAUAUUUAGGAUUCGUUCACUUUUUCUUGUUUAUUAUUUCAAAAACCGAUAUUCAUUAAAAGACAACUAUGUUUUUCAUGUUUUAUUCUAUCAUUAAUUAUUUAUUCUUCAAAUCAAUUUUUAAAAUCUAAUUGUAAACAUCAAUUAAUGAAAAUUCAUGUCAUCAUUAUCUUUUUAAUGGGCAUACAAAAUUUAAACAUGACAAGUAAAAAUGAAUGGAGAAUACUAUUAAUUGAAAGCUACGUAAAAAAUCUUCUAAAUAAGGAAAGAUUAAAAAAAAAAGUAAAGGGAACAUGACUAAUUACUAAUUAUUGGAGAACAUAAUAAUACAUCAUAUAGAUUUUUGAGUUCAAUAUUGACAUUCUAGAUAAAAAUACAACAAUGUAUUCAAUAUAAUUCUAUAAAGUAGGGUUCGAGAUAGUAGACCUUACCCUACCUCAAAAGAUAGAAAGACUAAUUAUUUCUGAUAGAACUUCGACUCAAACUAUAAAACUCAUCAUCCCCAACUCCUAUCUCCGUCCAAAUAAUAACUUAAAAGACAAACACAAAUCAUACGAAAAUGGCAACCAAGUAGGUCUGCCCUGUUCGAGACCUCCUAAUUACAUGACAACAACUUUAUUUGUUAGUCCAAAUCUCUCCCUCUUAUACCUUUGAUAACACUGUUUGAUGAUAAAAGUAUUAAUCAUUCAAGGUACUUCGUUAAAUGAAUAAUUUUAUCUAAAACAACUCAUUGGUUCCCAUAAUUGACCUUUGGUCUUAGAACAGGAAAUAAAUAUGCAGUACAUAAAUGAUUAAUAGUUGAAAUUUGAAUUACAACAAUACGACUCCUGUUAUGUACUAUCUAUUUCAUUUACAACAAACAAAAGAUUUACCUAGUUAAUUCGUUUAUCAUAAUGCACGCACAAUUAAAAUAUCUAUAAUAAAAACAAGCAAUCAAGCAAAUUCUGAGAUUCUCAACUCACCGAGUCAAUCUUUUAAACAAAAACAAAUGACCAUCUUGAAAAAAAUAAUAAUAAUGAAAUAUGAAUUAAUCACAAAUCAAUCCAAAUCUAGAAAAACUUACGGUUAAACUUUAAUUUUGUUCAAUAAACUACUAUGUCUUCACAAAUUGCAGCGAAGAACAAUCACAGACUAUUAAAAUAGAUACAAAUAUGUGUCUUCACCCAAGAACAACUCUAAUCAUAGUCACGAAUGCUCGUCACAUUGCAGAAUCAAUAACCUAUAUUAUUUAAACUAAUUUCAAGUUUUAAUUUGAAAUCGGUGUUUGUAUACUAUUUCAAUUUUGAUUUCAAAUUUCAAAUCGUAAUAUAAAAGGUUUGAUCUCAAUUUAAAAUUUGUGAACUAAAAAAAACAUUAAAACUUUGAAUCUCAAGUUUAUAUUUUGCAAAGAAGAACCUUAAUUUUAAAAUUUGUAAAAAAAAAAAAAAAAAAAAAAAAUAACAAAAAAGGCAUAUGCUCUAGCCUUUAUGUAAAGAAUGAAUUAUAUUUUUUUAAUGACGAAGGUUCUCUUUCUCUAAAUAAAGAGUCCUUAAAUAAGAAAAAAACUAAUACACUAUAUUAGUUGGUUUGAAAGUCCUAAAUUACAUAUAUUUUAAAUAAGGUAAAAAAUAAUUUAUAGUAAGGUAAAAACUAAUUUAUAGUUUAGUAGGUUUCAAAGUCCCACAUCAGAUAAAAUAAUUAACUUAUUAAUUUUUAAAUAUAAAAAUAGUGAAAAGACGAUUUUGUCUAAAGUGAAGACUUUUAGUGAAGGGCAAAAAGUUCAAAUCACUUUUCUAAGUGUCUUCACACAUUUAUAUAUACUAGUUUAGGUGUACGCGCCUCGCGCGUGUACCUCAUUUAUUGAGUUCAAACGUUACACUAAAUAGGACAUUUGUUUAAAUAAUAAAGAUGGAUACAAUAAUUAAAAUCAACAUCUUUUGAAAAAGUGAUUUGAACUUUUUACCCUUCAUUAAAAGUCUCUACUUUAGACAAAAUCGUCUUUUCACUUAUUUUCUUUAGUUUAUAAAAAUAAAAAAAUAUUUGAUUAAAUAAAUAAGUGGCAAAGAUCUAUUAAAAACGAAUCCCUACCUUUAUAAAAGAGGUGUACACGACCUUUCCUUAAAGAAGGAAAAAAAAGUCCCUAAAUUUAUGGUGAUUUUAUGGAAAAAAAAACUAUAAAAAAACAUGGAUAUUUGACCAUUUAGUGAUAUUAAUAAUUUCUAAUAUUUAGCUUCCUUUUAGGCCUAGGAGUUUUAUAAUAUUUUAACUUUCAAUUCCUUUUUUAUUUACAAAUUCUUUAUAACAGAAGUUAUAUAUUCUCAAUCUCAUUUAUGAAUUUUUGUUUUCAAAGUUACUUUAUGUAUUCCUGUUUUUUUUUGGUAGAACAAGUUUCCUGCAAUAUUCUUGCAUAUCUCUUAAUCAUAUUGUUCUAAUAUGUUGAUUAUUGUAUUAAUUUGUUGUACUUUCUACUAUUUUUUCUAACUCAAUGCGCAUGGUAAAUGAAUUUUUAAUUGGGCUUCGAGAAAUUUUGUGUAACGUUUAGAUUUAAUUAUAUUGUUCUAAAUCUUGAUCCUAGUUUUUGUUGCUAUCUGCUAUUUUUUUUAUUAAUACAGGUAGUAGAGAAGUGUUAAGUCUAACUUUAAGGAACUUUUGUAUAAAGGUUAAAUCCAAUAAUAUUGUUCUGAAAGAUUUACAAUUAAUAGUAAAUCUUAGGGGCAUGCGGUAUAUAUUUCUUAUUUUAUCAUUUAAUUAAUUUAAUUUUUCUAUAUUAUUAUCAUGCAAAAUAAUAACACUUAUUUUAGUUGUUUUGUUUUUUUGCUAUUUGUUAUCCUUAAUGCAGGCGGUAGAUGAAUGUUUGGUUGAGCUUUCAGUUUAUUGUAUAAAGGUUAGGCGUAACCAUAUUGUUCUAAUAUCUCUAUUAUCGUAUUAUUUUCUUGUACUUAACGGGUAGUAGAUGAAUGCUUGAUCGGACUUUGAGUAAUUUUUAUAUUACGGUUAGAGAUCUUUUUUCAACGAAUUUUAAAGUUGUGAUAUAUAUUAAUUUCAUCAACUUUGAGUCCAUAUUAUAGAAGGAUGUUCGAUCAACCCAUUGCAUAUGGGGAGCUUAUGUAACCGGGCUUUCGGUGAAGACAUAAAGGAAUAUUUUGGAGAGGAUAUUUUAGAUGCAUUUAGAAAUAUGAUUUUUGGGAUAUUUCUGGACUUGCCUCAAUGCAACUGGAUAGGUCAUAUUUUCAAAUAUCUCCUUAUGCUAGAAAUCCAGCAGGAUAAUAAGGACGAGAUUCAUAUUUGGAUACAAAGGGAAAUCCUCAGAUUUACAAUCCUUGCAUUUGUCAUUAUUACCGGUCUUUACUGUACCGGUACUAUUAUGAUUAUAUGUAUACUUUAUCAUCAAAAUCAACUUUGAUGUCAAAGUAUUUUCCCGACGCUAAAGGAGGAAUAACUAGGUCAAAACUGAUAACAUGUGUGAAUAUGGAAAACUUUGAUAACUCUGAAGAUGCUCUGAACCUAACGAUAUUGUUCUUUGUUCAUACGUUCAUGUUUUUUCAGCAUAAGGAAGUACCAAUCAGUUUAGCUCACUUUCAGAUGGUCGAGGAUGGUCGGUACAUUCACUUUCCAUGGGGAAAGAUUACAUUUGAAAAGUUGAUGAGCUCUUGGCGGCAGGAUUUCAAUAUCACUUUUAAAGAAGUUAUAUUCACUGGGUGGAAUGCCGCACGUUCUAAAUGUUAAAAUGUUUGAUUGCUGCUCCGAGGUAGAAACAAAAAUUGUUGUCCGUUAGAGAAACAUAAUCCCAAGAAUACUAAACUGGUCGGUGGAGUGUACCGGGCCUAAGUAUGACUCUUUUAUGUCUGGCAUGUUCAGUAAGGUAAUUAUAUAAUGUUUUAAUUAUAUUGUUUUUUCAAGUCGUUUUAUUGAUGUGCAAAAAUUUCAUUCUGAAAUUCAUUUAUCCAGCAUUCUUACAAGAAUAUACAACCUACAAGCGAAGAAGUUCGUAGGUUGGAUUUGUCUUUUUCUGAAGAUUUUUAGGUAUUUGAUCCAUCAUCUGCUUCUUCAACAUCCGUUGCUGGAAUGUUGAAAAGGUUAGCCGAUGAAGUUCAACUGCGUGUUGGUACUGUGGCUGAAGAAUUUGCUGAUUUCAGCACUAUACCAUCGUGGAAAAUUCUCAUAAAGACUGAUUUAGCUUUGUCUGUAUCACCUGAACAACCAUCGAAGAGAAGAAAGACUGUGAUAUUUUAGGAAGAUAUUCCAGCAAUUACGGAUGAUGACAAAUCUACACGUGCUCCUCCAGUAUGUCAUGUGUCUGGUUUGUAUUUAAAACGCAAAAGGAUGCAACAGAUAAAAGAGAAUUUGGUGUGUCUGAAUUUGAACAUCGUCAUCAAGGAGAAAUUGGUGUGUCUCCUGAGCGUGACCGACUCAAGUCUGUCCCUUCAUCUUCCACAGAGCCUGGAGGGACUUCUAAAUUAAGUUUAGAUAGUGAUGAUAUAAAGAAUUACAUCAACAAAUGUGUAAGUUAACUAUUUUAUUAACAAGUUUUGUUUUUGAAAAAGCAUGAGGUGUUUCUAAUAAAUUUUUUUCCUACACGUUUUAAGGUUGCUAAAAAGAUGGCUGAGCUGGUUACACUAAUAUCCAAAAUACCUGCUGAGGUCGUUAAAACAUUGAAGAAGGAAGAAAAUAAAGAAUCAAAGGUAUAAAAUUUAAUUUCAUUCAAUUUUCUAUUAUUUUAAUGAAAUGUUCAUACAUUCGGAUUAUUAAUGUUAUAUAGGAGGAGAAAAUUGUUGAUCAACAACAAAGUCAAGACGAAGGAUCGAAAAAACACGCUAGGCCAUAUAAGGAGGAUUUGCAGGUAUCUUUUUGUCAAUUAUGUUCUGUGUUACUAUAACUCUAUAUAACUCCCAUAUGUGAAACAAAUGUUGUUUCAUUUUUGUACAAUAUGAAGAUUAUGAUAAAGGAUCAGUCAAUGAUAAAGAAUAAAGUUUUAAUGAAGAAUUGAAAAACUAGCACAUUCCUGAUGUGCAAGAGUUUCUGGUAUUUUUUUGUCCCUAAUAUUGGUUAUGUAAUAUACAAUAUGUCUAUACACAUGUAGCGAAAGUUAAAAUCUUUAAUGUUGGGCCAUUUUAAUUUCAUCAUACAUUAGCCCGAAUAUAUAAUGAUGUGUUAUACAUUAAUCAUACUUUUAGUUUCUUCAACAGGAACAUGUUAUUUAUGAAUAUCUUCAUACAUAUGUAUGUUAUUUACAAUUAGUUAUAUAACACGUUUCCUAAUUCACCUAAAAAAUAUUUAUGGAUAACUGUUCACACACGCUGAUCGUUAUUUAAAAUAGGAUAUGAAUGUAUCAAGACAAAACCAGCGACACCCAUAUUGACUACUUUUGGUUUGGGGUCAAAACGGACCCCCAAAAUAGAUUUCCAAAAAAGAAAGGCAAAAUUAAAAUUUUACUUCAAAAAUAUGUUCUCCAUAUUUUUAGGAACCUACAACUGAAAAUUCAAGUUAAAUCGAGUAAAAAAUGGGAUUCAAAUCGAAGAAAAAUUAUUUUUGAGCUUUACCGGAUAAAAUCUUUGAAUCAUAGUUGUUUUGAAGGUUAAAUUGAUGAAAAAUUAGUAAUUAUAAGAUAAAACUAUUAUUCAAGUAAAAAGGAGUGAAAUUUGGAUUUAAAAUCAUGCUCUAUGAUUUUUGGAGUUUUGAGAAAUCAAUCAAGAAAUUACUAAGAAAGGGGUGAAUCUAGUUUUAAUCCAUAAUAAAACCAAGAAAAAAGUGUUAAUCUAGUUUCUCAAACUCUCACAAACUUUACUUUUAAGCUCCCACACUAUUUUAGGCUUUAACCCCCAAGAGCCAAGAUGAAAAUGAGCAAAAUGGAUCAAAAAGAGUGAAAAAUCUGCUAUUUAUUAUAGAUUUUCUGCAAUAGCUGUGCAGAUUUUUUUCCUUUAAGUCGCAAUGGACUUCGACGGGGUGCCCGGGAUUCAUUCGAAGUCUGAUUUAUGCAAAAGAACUAUACAACCAUACUAAAUUCGACGUUCCUAACUCUAUGGCGAUAUUAGAUUUUCAAGAAAAUAUCGUUUCACAAAGUUGACCCCAAAAACCCGAAAUUACAAUUUUCCAAACCGAGGAUCGAAAUGAGAUUUAAAAGUCGUAAAAUCAUACCAAAUAUGCUAACACCCUAAAAUCAACAUUCCGGAUCUGCUGUCGAAGUCGAAUUUCCUAUCCGAGAUCGUUUCAAUCAAAUGUGGGUCCCAAACCCAUAUUUCUAAUUUUUCAACUUUCCGACCAAUAGGUCGAAAUGAGCUCGGGUGCAUCGGGACCCAAACCAAAGGUCUACCUAGCCUAAAAUUGUUAUUAUGGAGCUUCUGAAGCAGUCCGUUCGGCCAUCCAUCGUACGGAUCAAAAGAUAUACACAUAAGUCCAAAACAAGGCUCUCGAAGCCAUCAAAAACCACAAUAUUGGAUAAAUGAUACCAAAAUGCAUCGAAAAUCUUGCCAAUUACUCUCACAUUCCAGAAAUAUUAUAAUGCAACUACGAGGAGGGGUAAAACAGUCAAAUCACACAAAAUCAUAAAUUUCACAUACUUUAUCAAAUUUUUAGGUCGUUACACACAGUAUGUUACAACAACUAUUUACUAUAAUAGUUUUCAAAUUACAUAGUAUUUACCCACAUAUAACUACGUUAUAAUUAUAAGUGAUUAUGUAACAAAAUACGAUCUUUGAAAACUAUAUUAAAUGGUUAUGAAAAUGCCAUACAUUGAUUAAUAACUAAACAUCGGAUAAAAAUUAAAAAUAUCAAUCAAAGAUUCUUUCAACAUAUCAACAAAAACAAAUUAAAAUAAUUAUUUAAUUACAAACAAACUAAGCAUAAGCAUUUAGAACAACAUAUUAUCUUCUUCACGAUUCCCUUGGAAAGAAAUUGCACGUCCUACGGUUGCUGCCUGCACGCCUGCAUUUACCGCAAUGGUUUAAGCUUGCAGUAAGUGAUUCACUAGAUUUCAAAUGCCUUCCUUUCUUUGGCCUACCUGGAGGUCUUUUGUAUUUGGGUGGCAGAACUUCUUCGUCAGCAAUAAAUUGUGGAAUAUUCCAAUCUUUCAUGUCUAGCAUAGAAAUUAUCGGGAGUUCAUACGUCUUAACAAUGGUGUUUGGCCUGUAUAAUUCUGAGCAGUAACUAUCAUACUCUUUAACAUCAAUAUUUUUACUCCUUAAAACAGCAAUAGCGUGUGCACAUGGUAUUUCAUCAAUUUGAUACCGGCCACAGUUGCACGUGCCACGAUCAAUAUCAACAAUGUACCUCCUUCCCGAUUCAUAUACACAGUACAGAUAACUACCAGCUGCCUUAACCUGUUAGAAAUGAACUAUUUAAUACAUAUAAUAACAUAAAAAUUUAUAACGAAUAAAAAAAAUUACUUAAACAAUUAUUCUAAUACAAACCGUCAUCCGCAAAACUUUAACCCCAUUAUCAGUCAGAAUUUCUUGAAAUCUUCUCCCGAGUAUUGUGUUGGUAUAAGAUGCAAUUUCACCGUUCUUACAAUUUCAUGCAACAAAUAAAAUACUAACUUCUUCAAGGAAACCUAAAAUAGGAAGUUCUCUAACCUCUACCAAGCAACCGUUAAUACAUUUGGCUAUAUUAGAUGUCAUCAUUCUACCUCUAUUAACAAGAGAGUGACAUCGAGAUCAUUUUUCAUAACCAGCUUCUUCCAGAUAUUCCUUAACCCUGGGAUCAACCUUACCAACCUUUGUUAUAACGUAAUCAAAAUCUUCUAUUCUAUAAGCCUUAACCAUUGAAUAAUAAAGGUCACUAAGUUUAUCUUUGCUUUUUCUAAAAUAUUUGCAAACAUUUUUUCAUAAAUGCCAAAUACAAGCUAGAUGGGGGACAUUAGGAUAAACAAUGCUCACACCUUUUAUGAUACUCUCAUUUUGAUCCGAUCCAAUACACAUAUAGUCCCGUUCCCUAAAUGCUUCCCAAAAUUUAUGAAAAAACCAAGUCCAAGAACUGUCGUUCUCCAAAUCCACAACACCGAAGGCUAAUGAAAGAAUACAUCCUAAAGAAAAAAAAACAUAUUUAUAAAGUAUAACACUAUAUCGUACCUUAUAAACAUACUGUUAAGAAAUUAUACAUUAAAUGUUUAGUAAAUGUAUAAACCAUUAAAUGUGUUAUUGUUAAGAAAAUAUGAGUAUUUAUAAUAUUAUACAUACAUUCUAACGUAUAAUCCCUACUCAUACACAUAAAAAAUAAUGAAAAAUAAACUUAAAUUUUCACAAAUUUUGUUUCAUGAAUGUGCCAUUUCUUAUGUUGUUUAAUAAAAAAACUGGUAUCUCUUAAAUAAAAAAAAAAAACAAAUCAACAUAAUAUUUGUAAGUCAAUAAUAUAUGUACUAAUUUUGCAAGUCCAUAUUUUAUCAUACAUACAAAAGCAACGUAUUAUCAGUACUAAUAAAUACAAAAUAUAAAAUGAAUACAGAAAAAAAGUUUGAAAGUUUUGUAUAAUACCUGCACCAUCAAGAGUGCUUGUCGAUACGAAUGUUCCUUGGUAUGGACCACUUAAAUGAGCACCAUCUACAACUACAACAGGUCGGUAAAAUUCGAAACCCCUUAUCAUGAGAUGUAAGGCACUAAACAAGUAUUUAAACUCGUUAUCUAAUGCCUUAUGCAUCCGAAUGUAUGAUCCUGAAUAAACCUGGUUCAACAUAAAUAUAUAACGGGGCAUUUUUUGAUAUCCAUCAGCUGGUCCACCUCUAAGCAUUACAAUUGCCUUCUUUUUUGCCCGUCAAACCAUCAUGUAGUUAAUAUCGACACCGUAAACAAUCUUUAUCUCUUCAAUUAUGUCCGUGGGAGUGUGUAUUCUCUUGUAAUUAACUAAUUUUUGUGCUGUAAAUUCACUGACAAAAGUUAUUAUUGCAACCAAAUUAUUCAGUACUCUUUCACUCAAACUGCAUGUAUGUUCUGAAUCAAAUCUCUUUAUCACAAAGAUUUCAGAAUAAUUCAUAGAAUACGCCUUCAGGACCCAUUUGUAGUCUUUGUUACGACAAUGUAGUACAUAGCUGCAUACAAUUUAAGCAUGUUAUCAAUGUAUUAAUGUACUUAUAAAAUUAAUAAUUUUAGUAAAAAUACUAAAAUUGCCCAGUUACAAUUUUAUUAUACAUUCAUUGAAAUGUAUAAUGCCAUAUUAUACAUUGUUACUAAAAUAGCCAUUAAGAAACGCAAUCAUUGUUAUCACAUCAACUCUUUCAAAACAGCUAUUACAAAACAAAACAUCCAUUAAAGCAUCAACAAAUAAAUAUCAUUUUUUUGUUCAUAUCUUUGUUUGUCAGAUCGUUUAGAAAAGGUGUUGAAGCCAUUCGAUAUAUCAUAUUUUGCCAUAACUGAUACCAGUGUUUUCUUAUCCUUGUAAAGCUGGUUAACCUUUAUUUCAGUGUUCUUGCAAUCAGUAAUGAAAUUUUUUACUUCAAAUUCUGAAACGUAUAAUGAAUACUGAUUCUACGUUUCAACAAUCGUUAAAGCAACAGAAUCAGAUUCACUACCUUCAAUACACAGUACUGCCCCAGUUUCACUAUCAAACUCGAUAUCCUUAUUCAAUUUGUCGAAAGUUGAUAUACAUAGCGGAAAAUUAACAAGCCCCGUAAAUUAUUUCUUCAACUCAAUGUAAACCUUAUUAUGCUUCUUUAUGAUAAUUAAAGAAGAAUUACCAUCAACGAUGUAUUUAACUUCAAUUUUUUCGAACAUCGUCAACAUUAAAUUCCAUGGCUAUUGUCGCUACCAAUUUCAGAGAAUACUUUCAGAAACAAUAGUGACAUCACUUUUGUGUGAUUUAUAACAGAUUUUUGACUCCCAGACAUCGAAAUGACGCAAUAAUAUGGGAAUGUUUAUCUUUUUAUUUCCUAGAAAUAAAGAAAGAAGCCAACUAUUUUUUUUUCUCAAAAACAUAUUUCAACAGUGAUGAAAGAAAGAAGCCAACUUUUUUUCUUCAAAAAUGUAUUCCAACAGUGAUGAAUAUUAUUAGUAAUGUUUAAGAGUUUUUUUAAAAUUUAAAUUUCAAUUCCUAUAUUAACUCAUACGCUACUUAAUUAGGUAUUUAAUGUCGUAAUUUAAGGGUAUGAAGAUAUUUUCUGAUUUCUCUUUCCUUAAUUGUAGGUAUAACAGUUUUAUCAUAUAUCACACCAAUAUAAAAUAAAGCCACAAAUGUAUAAAUAUAUUUGGUAAAAUAGGAAGAGAGAAAACCUAAAGGAAUUUUCUGUAAAUACGUUCAUAUUACAUGGUAUUUGUGUGGUUUACACUUUAUUUUAUAUUGUAACCCACUUGUAUUCCGGGUAUAAGGCCCAAAUGUUUAUAAGGGCAAUAGAAAACUGAUUCAUUCAUGUAAAUCAAAUAUUUCUCAUUUUGUGUGUUUGGUAUGAUGAAAAAUAUUUUCUUGGAAAAUGUUUUUCUGGAAAAUAAGUUGGUUUUCUACUUAUUUUCUCAUGUUUGGUUGGUGAGUGGAAAAUAUUUUUCAAAAAAUAUUUUAUGGUAUUUGGUUGGUGAGUAGAGAUUAUUUUUUAGAAAAAUAUUUUCUAGUGUUUGAUUGGUGAGUGAAAAAAUAUUUUUUUAGAAAAUAUUACUAACUGUUAACUAGUAUAUCAGUGCCUCUAGCAACUCAACAAUUUGUAAGAACUAAUUUAAGCAUAACAAAUAAUAUCAAUAUCGAAUACUAAAAUAUUACAAUCACUAAAUUUAACUAACUAUUAAUUAGCAAAUAUAAGAGACACUUUUCAAUAUUUUGUCUGGACAAUCUCAAGAUACUACAAUCAGUAGAAAUAUAAUGGAACGACAAGCUUAUUCAACCUCGUGAAACAAGUUACAUCGAUGGCAAAUGAAAUAUUCAAUUAGCAAAAGUAACAUAGGUAAGUCUUCCUCUAUGUAUAUGAAAAUAACAAUACAUUCAACGAACAUUGAAAAUAAAAAAAAUUCGGGCUUCACUAUUUUUUAUUUCAAGCAGUAAAAAAUUGAAGUAAAGCAUAGUGAAAAAUAUUUUUGAGUAAUAUAAAUUUUUAAGAAAUAUGAAUUUUUUGAGUUAUGUAAAUAUGAGUGUUGAUGGGUGGGGAAGAAGAGGUGAAGGUGGAGUCAUAAGUUACAUUUGUCAUUUUCUGAAAAAUAACUUUUCUUGAAUCACGAAGGAAGCCAUUUUACCUCAAAUUGAGAAAAAUAAAUUGUUAUGAAAAAUGUUUUCCAAAUAUUUUAUUACAACCAAAUAAGAAAAAGAAAAGAUAGGAAAACAUUUUAAGAAAACAUUUUCCAUAGUACCAAACACACUUAAUCAAAAAUUCUCUCUCUAUAGUUCAUAUGCUCAUACGAAACCCUAACUGUAUUUCAUCAAAAAUGGAUUGAUUUCACAACUUUGACAUGACAUCAGAGUUAGGAAUUCUGAAUCUCUAUUCGUCGAUCUACAUAGCGAUGUUACCCCCUAUUAAUUUCCAAUCAGUAUUAUCGGAAAAGGUUAUCUCUGCUCGAAAUUUUGUUGAUCGUCUUUGGAUUGCCGCCGGUUUGGUUUACUAUUUUGUUUCGAUUUUGGUUGGUGAAGAUUGUUGGUUCAUCAGCUGUAGUGGUAUUCUCAAGGUCGUUACUGUUUUGCGACUGUGAAGACGAUGGGUAAUUUCUUUCCUGCUCUAUUUUUGCUUGAUUCAUCUCCUCUUUGAGCUUUUACAUCGACUUAUCAUGGUGACUAAUGCGACUUGUAGUCAAGAUGGUACUUCAACUACUCCUGCUUUUGAUUACUUGAACCCUAUGUUCAUAUCUACCUCCGAUGUGACUGGGAUUUCUCUUAUUAUUGUUCAUUUUUCAGGAUCCAAUUUUAAGGGAUGGAAACAUAAUAUGAUAGUUUCUUUGUCUAUUAGGAAUAAGAUGGCGUUUAUAAAUGGAUCUUAUAUUAGGCCAACCGAGUUACCUUAGUUCGGGCAGUGGGAUAAAUGUAACAGAUUACUUAUAUAUCCUGGUUGGCUAGUUCACUCUCACUUGACAUUGCUGAAAGUGUUCAAUAUUCUGACACUGCUAAGAGUAUUUGGGACCAAUUGUCCAAACGAUAUAGAUGUGUUAUUGGUACCAAUAUUUUUGAGAUUAAAAAAGAGUUGACGUCCACUAAUCAAGUCUCUCUAGACAUUGCUUCUUAUUUCAACAAGCUUAAGAAAUUUUGGGAUGAGCUUAGGUUUAUGUGUAAAAAUAAUACAAAUACUUGUACUUGUGCUAUGAAGCUUGAUCUAGAGAAGGAAGAAGAAGAAAACAAGGUAAAUCAAUUCGUCAUGGGUUUCAAUGAGACCUAUGAGGGAGUGAGGAGUAAUUUGCUCAUGAUGCAGCCUUUCCCUUCUCUGGAUUCUGCCUACCAUGUUCUUCUUUGAAAUGAAAGGCAGAGACAAGUUACUAAUUAUGUGCAGUUUUCCAAUGACAGUGCCUCGUUUGAUGUUAAACAAACUUUCCUAAGAAAUUCCCUGCUUCAGGCUCUUAUCCCUCAAAAUCUCCACAAACCUAUAACUCUAAAAAAAUCAGAGAAUCAAUUUCAACCUAGAUAAAUCCUUCCUGUUAUGCAAGUAUUACAAAAGAUCUAGACAUUUGAUAAAAAAAAGGCCACGGAUUGUGUGAUUUACACUUGAUUUCAAGUUUUCCAAUCCUAAGGGCAAGAAAGUUAUUGCUUCUGCUGAAGUUCAACCUUCUGAUUCUACUACCAUUGGAUUUUAAGGACAUCUAUCUCGUGAUAUUUCCUCCAUGCUUGCUAGGUUCUCCACGGAGCAGUGUGCACAGGCCAUGCUUUUGCUUCAGAAAGAUUCAGACCCUUCUUCUAGCCUAAUGGCAUCUGCUCACUUAGCUAGUACAUUUCCUUUGCCUAGUUAUAUAGAAAAUGUGUCUUAUGGUGCAUGCAUGAUUAGUAAAGUAGAUGAAGACAUUUGAAUUAUAGAUUCUAGGGACACAGACAACAUGACAUCAAAUAAAGACCUUUUAUUUGAUAAUAAGCCCUUAUAGAUUCUAGGGCCACAGACCACAUGACAUCAAAUAAAGACCAAUUGUAGGGGUGCGGAUAACUUAAUAACUUAAAUAGAUCUAUUGUAUUUUUAUUUGUGCGUGGAUAUUUCUUAACUUCUUUAAAUAUUUUUAUUUUUAGUUUAUUGUUCAUAUCUUGGGGGUGAUUAACUGGUAUUUGAUUAAAUGCUUUACUGUAGUAUUCUUUAGUUUUUCUCUUAGUCUUUGUAAUUCUUCUAUAUUAUUUUUGAGGUAUUCUAAAUAUUCUAUAUCUUUUGUUCUAAAAUAUUCGAUUAAAUUCUCAUUCAUAAGCAUUUCUUCUAAUCUUAUUUCUUUCAUAUCUUGUCUUCAAUAGUUUAAAUACUCAUUAGUUUAUCAUUUUAUUCUAAAGUAGUUGCUUGUUUACUAGUUUCUGUGUAAUAUUCUAUUCUAAUUGUACUAUAAUUUAUAUCUGAAUUAAGGUUAUUAAUACUAUUAAUUAUCUCCCUUUCUUCUUCUCUUAAUGAGUUUUUUUAUGUAUAUAAACUUUUAUCUGUAUUUUUUUCUAAAUUUUCCAAGGUUUCUUUUAUCCAUAUUAAUUUUUCUUUUAGAUUUUCUAUUAUUUCUUUGAGUUGGUUUCUAUAAUUAAUUUCUUCAUAUAGGUCACUUUGGUUUUCUCUAAUUUUUCUAAUAUCUUCUAACAUUUUAGUCUGAAUAAUAUCCAUCUGGGUAAUUAUCUAGGUAUAGUUGUUCUAUCUAAUUUAUAAUUUCAAUUUCAUAGUCUAAUAUUAUUCUUUUAAUAUCUAUAAUUUCUAAGUAUAUACAAGAUUAAUAUUUUAAGAUUAUCUGUCUUUUAAAAUUGGUUAAAUAUUUUAUUAUAAUAUUUUUUAAUUUUUUGUUUUAAUCUCAUUAAUUCUUCUAUAUUUUCACUGAGAAAUUGUAUAUAUUUUAUAUCUUUAGUCCUCAUAUAUUCAUCUAAAUUUGUUUUCAUUUGUUUUUCUGUUGAUUGUAUAUUUUUUAUAUUCAUUUUCCAAAAUUCUAAAUAUACAUAAUUUAUCAUGAUUGAUAUGCAGGUUUGGUAUAUAAGCAUUUAUAAGAGUAGUUAGGUUAGUGUGGUAUAUAAUUUACUCUAGUCAUAAAAUACAGAUAUAAGAAAAAUCAUAUUAGAAAAAAAUAUAUUUGAUAAAUAUUUUAUGACUAGAGUAAAUUAUAUACCACACUUAUCUAACUACUCUUACAAAUGCUUAUAUACCAAACCUGCAUAUCAACCAUGAUAAAUUAUGUAUAUUUAGAAUUUUGGAAAAUGAAUAUGAAAAAUAUACAAUCAACAGAAAAACAAAUAAAAACAAAUUUAGAUGAAUAUAUGAGGACUAAAGAUACAAAAUAUAUACAAUUUCUCAGUGAAAAUAUAGAAGAAUUAAUGAGAUUAAAACAAAAAAUUAAAAAAUAUUAUAAUAAAAUAUUUAAUCAAUUUUAAAUGGCAGAUAAUCUUAAAAUAUUAAUCUUGUAUAUACUUAGAAAUUAUAGAUAUUAAGAGAAUAAUAUUAGAUUAUGAAAUUAAAAUUAUAAAUUAGAUAGAACAACUAUACCUAGAUAAUUACCCAGAUGGAUAUUAUUCAGACUAAAAUGUUAGAAGAUAUUAGAAAAGUUAGAGAAAACCAAAGUGACCUAUAUGAAGAAAUUAAUUAUAGAAACCAACUUAAAGAAAUAAUAGAAAAUCUAAACGAAAAAUUAAUAUAGAUAAAAGAAUCCUUAGAAAAUUUAGAAAAAAGUACAGAUAAAAGUUUAUAUAACAUAAAAAACUCAUUAAGAGAAAGAAGAAAGGGAGAUAAUUAGUAUUAAUAACCUUAAUUCAGUUAUAAAUUAUAGUACAAAUAGAAUAUUACACAGAAACUAGUAAACAAGCAACUACUUUAGAAUAAAAUGAUAAACUAAUGAGUAUUUAAAAUAUUGGAGACAAGAUAUGAAAGAAAUAAGAUUAGAAGAAAUGCUUAUGAAUAAGAAUUUAAUCGAAUAUUUUAGAACAAAAGAUAUAGAAUAUUUAGAAUACCUCAAAAAUAAUAUAGAAGAAUUACAAAGAUUAAGAGAAAAAAAUAAAGAAUACUACAAUAAAGCAUUUAAUCAAAUACCAGUUAAUCACCCCCAAGAUAUGAGCAAUAAACUAAAAAUAAAAAUAUUUAGAGAAGUUAAGAAAUAUCCACGCACAAAUAAAAAUAUAAUAGAUCUAUUUAAUCCCCUUGUAAUACCUUUCCAAAUGGUUACAAAGUCAAAGUGACUUAUACGGGAUUUAUAAAUUUUCCAUCUUUUACAUUAUAUCAUGUUCUUUACAUAUCCCAUGUAGACACGUCUGCACCAUCUCUUACUACUUUCACUACUCAUGUCAGUAAUAGUUUCACUUCUAAUACUUCUCCUAUUGAUCAUGGUACUCCCCCUUUUGUAAUUCCCAGUACUUCCCAUUCCCAUUGUAAAAAUUCCAUUGAUUUGAAUAAAAUUGACAUUUUAUGGAACACAUGUCAUUUGUGAAAAUGAAAGCUAUUUGUACUUUGCCUUGUAAUCUUUCCCUCUUAUCAAAGUUUUUCUUGCCAUGGUGCAAAAUCAGUUCAACUCUUUCAAUCCAAUCAAUUAGAAGUAUAAUGCUCUUAAAUUAGGAUCUAACACUUAUGCCUCUUUAUUUUUCAUGACAAAAUUGAUGAUCUCAUGAACAGAGUGUCAAUUACACAGGGCAAAUUUAUUACAGAAACGAUGGAACAUCAUUACGGGGCGGGUAAACUUUAAAGGAGCUAUUACAAAAAAUAGAUGGGACCAGAAGAAGGUUGCAGGUGGAGAGGAUCCCAUGAAGGCAGGAAAAUAUCUCAACCACAGGAGAAAAACUCUGCUUCGGAGAUGCCUGGUUGGUAGAUUCACCGGUGGAGAAAAAGCUCCAACUCGCAAUGACGUUAGAAGGUGGGCAACUCAGACUUGGAAAGGAGUCCCAAACAUUCAGGUCUAUGACAUGGAUGAAUUCAAUUUUUUGUUCGAGUUCCAAACAAGUUGAGCAGCUGAACACAUUCUGAUGGGAGAAUGGAAGAUGCACAACCAGAACCUUGAGCUAGAUUGGUGGAAUCCAACAAAAAUAGGCUUUCUAAACACUACGAGAUUUGAUUGGUACUGGAUCAGGGUUUUGGGUCUUUCUCUGCAACUAUGGAAUUCUGAUACUAUGAAAAAGAUUGGUGAUGAAUGUGGAGGGUGGCUGGAGAAUAAAGAAGAGACUGAGCUCAGAAACCACUUGAGAUGGGCCAGAAUCAGAGUAAAAGGACCGAGGGAAAAAAUCCUGUCCUCCAUUGAAGUCGAUGAUGAAAAUCUGACCUUUUCUCUGCCGAUAUAGUGUGAGGAACCAGCAACUUAUCGAAAAAGAUCACCGGAGAAGAGGAACGACGAUGACAGGUUAAAAGAAAAGAAGUCAAAUCCUAGCACAGCUAUGCCUAUGGAGGCUUUUCAGAACAGAGGAAUGGAGUUUACAGAAGAGAGUAUAUCGAAAUACGAGAUAAACAAAAAAAGGGAAAGGUGGAUUGACCAGGGGCAUAUGCUUUCUGUGGGGUCCUACUUAGGAGAGAGGGAGUUGUGUGUAGGAGGACCUAGUUGUGGACAGCUGGAAAGAGAGAUGAGCAGAGAGAAAGAAAUUCAAAAUCAGGGUUUUUGUGGUGGGCCAAGAAAACACUCUUCAUUUAAUUUGAAAGGCAAUUCAAGCCCAAUUGAUUCAGGCCCAAAACAAAAGAAGCAGCCCUUUACAGAGCCUUUUACGGAGUUCAUUAAUAGAACAAAUACAGAGGCAUGCAAGAGUGUGUAUUUUGUUUAUUUCAAAGGGGGGGACAAACUCAAUAUAGAAGCAGCAGGGAGAAGGAAAAAAGAGAAGAACAUGCAUCUGAAUCAAAAGCAAUUAGACAUACAUGUUCACAAAAAAGGGGAAUCAUCAAUGAAGAACAAUGAAGGACAAAGAAUUGAAGAGGAGGUGGUGGAUUUUUCGGAAUCUCUUCUGGUAAUGUAUGCAGAAUCGGAACCUUUAUAGGUUAUCAACAGUGCACAAGAGGAGGAUCUUGCUACAAAUUAGGUUCAAACAAAUAUGAUCAAACUUGGACAACUGUUUGGAGUAGAUUUUAAAGAGUGAAAAUGAAGCCUAUACGAUGUUAAACAAGAUGGAUCAAAGGAGGAACUAGGAGAAAGGACAAGGGGAGAGUUUACAGGACUCGAGCUCUAAAAAUAUAGUUCCAAAAGAGGUGAGGAAUCUGUUUUUUGACAUGAACUUCAAAGAUGGGGAACCAAGAUCUAGUGGGAGAAUGCUAGCUUUAACAAAUCAAUGAAAGUAAAGCUAGUAUCAUGGAAUGUGAGGGGGUUAAAUGGGGUUGAAAAAAGGGACAUGGUCAGGAAAUUACUACGUCAAUGGGAUGCGGAUAUUUAUGUUCUAGUUGAAAUAAAGCUAGAAGGUCUUGUAGAUGGUAUGCUACGGAGUAUAUGGAGUAAUAGAUGGGUGGGUGAAUUUCAUAAAAUGGCUGUAGGGAGCAGUGGCGGAAUCUUAGUUCUAUGGGAUAAAAGGGUGUGGAUAGGAGAAAUGAUGGAGAUUGGUGUUCAAAGUGUUACUGGGAAAUUCACUGGGGUAAAUGAUGAUUUUAGCUUUUCCAUCACUGCAGCAGUCUAUGCAAAUUGCAAUAGAAGAAUCAGGAAGACGUUGUGGGAGGAGUUGGUAACUAUCAGAAGUAGAUAUAGUGGGCCAUGGAUAGUGUGCGGUGACUUUAAUGUUACCAGAUUCCCCUCUGAAAGAACAAAUUGUACGAGACUGAAUGGUGCUAUGACAGAGUUUUCUUCAUGUAUCGAGGAACAGGAGCUGGUUGAUCCCCCUUUAUUUGGAGGAUCAUAUACCUGGAGGGGAGGAGAGAAAAACAAAACUGCCUAAAGGAUCGAUAGAUUCCUACAUUGUACACAAUGGGGGGAAAGUUUUUUUACAGAUCAGGCAAAAUGUGCUACCAAGACUAACUUUCUAUCACAACCCCAUUGCCUUGACAUGUGGGGACUGGGAGUGGAAGAAAACCUACUUUAAAUUUGAAACAUGGUGGCUGGAAGUGGAAGGAUUCAAAGACAAAGUAAAAGACUGGUGGAACUCCUUCAAUGUUGAAGGAAGAGCAGGCUUCAUACUAGCUGAAAAGUUGAAGUUACUAAAGGCUGAAUUGAAAAAGUGGAGUAGGGACAACAAAGGUAACUGGAAGCAAAGAAAAGAGGACAUUUUGAACCAGAUUACAAACCUGGAAAACAUCCAGGAAUGCAGAAUCCUCACUGAUGAUGAAGUUCUACAAAAGACCAAUUUGGCGAUGGAGUUUGAAGAGAUAGUAAAAAAUGAGGAGAUAGCUUGGAAGCAAAGGUCAAGGAUACAAUGGUUGAAAAGUGGUGAUAAGAACACAAAGUUCUUUCGUAGAAUUGCAACUUCAUACAAGAGGUUCAAUUCUAUGGAACAACUUCAAUUGGAAGGAGUCAUGGUAAAAGAUCCAGUUAUAAUCAAGGAGGCAAUGCAUGAUUUCUACAUGAAUCUAUUCAAAGAGUCUGAACAAUGGAGACCUGAUCUUAACAUACCGGAUGUUACUACAAUUUCUAAGGAGGAAUGGACUUGGUUGCAAAGACCUUUUGAAGAGGAAGAAAUUUAAGAAGGGAUUAGAAUGUGUGCAAUGGAGAAGGCACCUGACCUUUCAGACUUUUUGGGAGAUACUGAAGGAAGAUAUAAUCAACACUCUGUCUGAUUUCUACUACAAUCAAGACUUUUGAAAAGAAUUUCAAUGCAACUUUCAUAGCUCUAAUCCCUAAAAAGAUGGGAGCUUCGGAGUUGACGGAUUACAGACUAAUCAGCCUAAUAGGAGUGGUGUACAAGAUCAUAGCUAAGUUGCUGGCAGAAAGGCUUAAGAAGGUGGUGAGCAAGCUGGUUAAUAAAAAUCAAAUGACCUUUAUAAAAGGAAGACAAAUCAUGGAUGCUGCACUCAUAGCCAGUGAAUGUAUAGAUUUAAGGAUGAAAAGUGGAGAUCCAGGGCUACUAUGCAAAUUGGACAUCCAGAAAGCUUAUGACCAUGCAAAUUGGUUUUUCAUUCUCAACAUCUCGAAACAAAUGGGUUUUGGUAGCAAAUAGUUGAAAUGGAUAUAAGUUUGUAUAAAGACGGUGAGAUUUUCAGUUUUAGUUAAUAGUGAACUAGUUGGAUUCUUUCCAUCGGAAAGAGGAUUGAGACAAGGGGAUCCUCUAUCCCCCUUUCUCUUUAUUUUGGCAAUGGAAGGAUUUGAUAGCAUGAUGAGAAUAGCUACACGACAGAGAUGGAUUAGAGGCUUUCUUACAAGGGACACGCUAGGAGCGAGAAAAGAGACCAGUCACUUACUGUAUGCAGAUGAUACCAUUAUCAUGUGUGAGCCAGAGACGGAGCAAUUGAAUUAUAUCAGGCUGAUCUUGAUCCUUUUUGAAGCAGUAUCAAGUCUAAGGGUAAAUUGGGGAAAAAGUAGUUUGAUUCCUGUCAAAGAUGUACCUCAGAUUCAUGAAUUGGCUAAGGUCCUGGGAUGCAAAAUUGAGGGAUUGCUAACCACGUAUUUGGGUAUUCCCUUAGGAAGCAAACACAAAGCAUUGGAGAUAUAGGAUGGGAUCCCGGAGAAAGCAAAAAAGAAACUGACUAGGUGGAAAUCACAAUAUCUCUCUCUGGGGGGAAGAAUGGUUUUGAUUAAUUCUGUCUUGGACUCCUCCCUACUUAUGUGAUGUCCUUAUUCCUUAUUCCUUCAAAAAUGGUCAAAAAACUAGAUAGACUUCGAAGGAACUUUCUCUGGGAAGGAGGCAAAGAAAGGAAGGGUUAUCACUUAGUGAAAUGGAAUAGUGUCAUGUUGAGCAAAGAUAGAGGAGGCUUGGGCAUCAGAAACCUAAGUAUUCAAAAUAAAAUUCUUCUAAUGAAGUGGCUGUAGAGGUGCAUCAGUGAAGAGGGAACCCUUUGGAAGGAGGUGAUAGUAGCAAAAUAUAGUGAGUUGAACCCCUGGUGCACAGAGGCGGUCACAUUACCAUAUAGAUGGGGAGUUUGGAGAACUAUUAGAAAUUUGUGGAGUUGCAUGGAAGAAAAUGUGAUUCUCAAAGUGGGAAAUGGCAACAAGUUCAAGUUUUGGAAAGAUGGUUGGAUUGAUCAAAAUCCUUUGAGUGAGUUAUUCCGGAUCUCUUCUCAAUUAAACACCAAUCCAGAAAGUAGGGUCAUCGAAUGUUGGUCUAUACAUGGUGGAAUCUCUCUUUCGGAAGGCUAAGCAAGGACUGGGAAGUAGAUAGGGUGGCUCUCCUACUGGAAAACUGGAAGGAACUAAACUAGACACAAAUGUACCAGACAAGAUCAUUUGGAAACACAACAAGGAUGGAAAGUUCACAGUUAAUAGUGCAUACAAACAAGGGAUACAAGGGGACCUGGAAAUAAUAACCAU